rnacentral:lncRNA from 1 species
AGACCCGUAGAUCUGUACGGCUUGUCAAGAAGAAGACCAAGGGCGUCAACAGCCUAUACCCUGUUGCUUAGAAAUCUGUUGGCAAGUCUCUUCUUUCUAGUGUUUUAUGAUUCAUGAUAAUUGCUUAGAAAAUUUUAGUUACUUGGAGCUGCUAGUUUCUUAGAUGUAUACACUUUCUAUCCAUGCCUAGCCUUCGUUGUCAUGUUAAGCAAUGUAUUUAUGUUAUCCUGAAAUGUUACCACUUGACUAUUGUUGCACUAGACACCUCCAUGUUAGUCCAUUUUAUUUCAUUAUGCACAAAGUGGAAGAAGAAAAUUCUGAUGUUGAACUACAUCCAUCCUGAUUUUCCUUUUGUAUGACAAUUGACAAAUGGCUAGUCCAAGCCAACAGUGGGCUGUUUGUGUCUAUGUUGUUUUCUUUGUAUCCUUAGAGUUUUGUUGUGCUCAAGUAAAAACUGUAAACUAGAAUUCAUCAUUCUAGUAUAUGGAGGCAUUUAACCUUUGCUCCUGAAGCUUUUUGGUGAAUAAAAAACUAUAUUGUUGUAGUAGAUUUGUUAUUUGAUUCAUGAGCAUGCAUAAAUUUGACUAUUGUUCUACUAGCCACAUGUCCUGUUAGUCCAUUUUAUUUUUAAUGCACAAAGUGGCAGAAGAUAAUUCCGAUGCAGAACUACCUCCAUCCUGACCCUUCCUCUGUUUUCUCUAAACCAUAAAUGGCACUUGAAGAAUAACUAAGGAUAUCAAGAAGCUUUUGGAUGUAGGCAAGCUUGGAGCUGCUGUUUCAAUGUCAUACUUUGAUAGUUGCCUUUUGGAGCUGUUGUUUCUAUGUGUAAUACUUUAAGUCUGUUGGCUGUACCGGACUAUUUAAACUUUGAACUAUGCUGUGAUGGUUGAACUGAUGUUGGACUGUUAAGGGUUAUGUUGGAGGCCACUUUAUAACUAAUGUGUGCCUGUUAUGUUGGACAGAUGCAGUUUUAUUAAUCCCUAGAGCUUAUUUGCUGAAAUUUACAUGAUCAAACCUGAUGGUUGUUGUGCUGCUAUAUUUGUGGCCUGUUUUAUUUCAAAUCUUGUUUGAAUUUCGGCCGAAUUUCGGCCAAAUUUUGGCCAAAUUUUCAAAUUUUGAUUUUGAAAUUUUGUCCGAGAUUUUGCCGAAAAAUUUAAAAUUCCCGAAAUUCGGCCAUUUCGGCCAAGGACGAAAAAAAACACAAACCGAAAAUCAAAACACAGCCCCCUAACAGUGCGGUCAAGAAGGUUUGCAAGUUGAAGCCCAUGUAUUAAAAUACCCCAUGUGGCCAUGCUGGUAGUUGUGGUAGCUGACCAGGCCCACGAUCGAGAGCAUCCUCUAUGGCUUCGAUCGUUUCGGCCCCGACGCACGACGUACACAAGCUCGCUUUUCCAAAAAAACGCACAAGAGCUCGCUGCGCGUAGCCGUCUACGGAAGUAGACGAGGGCAUCCGUACAACAGAUUAGCGCCGUCGCCGUCGCCGAUGGCGGAAUAAUCUUAAGGUGAGUCUUCUAAGUUGCUUCAUUGAUUUAUAUAUGUACCAUGGAAUACUGAUGAACUGAUCCACAUCUUUCUCCACAAAGACUAGAAAGUUUUUGCCUUUGAUGGGAUUAAUUAGGGCUGGCAAUUUUUUGUUUAUUCUAAAAAAUAGGUAUGCACUGAUUCUAUCAUCUUAAUUUCAGAAUUUGCCCUUAGGACAACUCAACAGGACUCACCUCAGAUCUAAGGUAUAUCAUCGGCUCAUGUCUACAUCAUCACAAGUUAUUAUUAUUGUUAGAAUUCCACAAACUGAUAAAUUCUAGUUUCUAUUUUUCUGUCCGGUUAGAAAAUUACAUACCGGUUUGUAUACAUGAUAACUCAAAUAUGAAAUUAGCUUACACAGAAACUACCGAUCAAAUAUUCCGGCAUGAGUAAAAUUUACACAGCAAGCUAGAAUUGGAAACGCACCAUAUAAGAAUAUACAUUUUGUCCUAUGAGUUUUAGGCAUAAGAACCACAUUCAGACUAAUGAAAAUCUACCAUUUUCUAAUUGCAAAAUCCAUAUUAUCUUGUAUUCCUCAUUAGUUUUAGGCAUAAGAAGUCCUGUGGAAUGGUUAUUGUUAGGAAAAAACUUCUAUAUGUUCAUUGAAUACUUCNNNNNNNNNNNNNNNNNNNNNNNNNNNNNNNNNNNNNNNNNNNNNNNNNNNNNNNNNNNNNNNNNNNNNNNNNNNNNNNNNNNNNNNNNNNNNNNNNNNNNNNNNNNNNNNNNNNNNNNNNNNNNNNNNNNNNNNNNNNNNNNNNNNNNNNNNNNNNNNNNNNNNNNNNNNNNNNNNNNNNNNNNNNNNNNNNNNNNNNNNNNNNNNNNNNNNNNNNNNNNNNNNNNNNNNNNNNNNNNNNNNNNNNNNNNNNNNNNNNNNNNNNNNNNNNNNNNNNNNNNNNNNNNNNNNNNNNNNNNNNNNNNNNNNNNNNNNNNNNNNNNNNNNNNNNNNNNNNNNNNNNNNNNNNNNNNNNNNNNNNNNNNNNNNNNNNNNNNNNNNNNNNNNNNNNNNNNGCUCCGCCCCUGGUCGGGCCAUGCGUGUGUGCGUGUGUGCUGGACUAGCUCGCUGCUGGUGCAACGUCGAUCUCCAGCAAAGAAAGAAGAGAAUCGUCGCCCGCAUGAAUCAUCAUCAGUGACAGCAACUGCAUGUGAAGUGUACUUGCUGGCUCGUUAAUUCCGCGUCAAUCUCCUACCAACAUUUGUCUCGAUCGCAGAGCUGGGUAGCAAGCAGCCGGGCGCGCGAACCGGGUACUCCUUCCGGUCCUUUUUACUCUGCAUAUUAGGUUUGUCCGAAGUCAACUUCAUCCACCUUUAACCAAGUUUAUAUAAAAAAUUAUAGACAUUCACAUAACAACACCAAUAUCAUUAGAUUCAUCUUGGAAUAUAUCUUCAUAUUAUAUUUAUUAGAUAUUAUAGAUGCUAAUAAUUUCUAAUAUAAAUUUGAUCAAACUUAGCAAAGUUUGACUUUCGGCAGAGUAAAAAGGACCGGAGGGAGUACAUGCAUGCAUGCAUGAUCACACAUUAAUUUCUCUCUCCGUCCGAUCUCUCUUUCUCAUACCAAAGCAUGGAAAGAAAGUGUGGGAGAAACUUCAACGAGCUGCUCGUGAUUGGUCACUGGACACUCGAUCCAUCUGUAGGGCUGUAGGAGUGUAGUGGACUCCGUGUUGGUUGCAUCUUGCGUAUAUCGCUACAAAAGAAAUACUACAUCUAGCUUGAUGCAUGGGUGUGUGGGUGUGGGAGAUUGAUGCACGCUCAGCAUGGUCGUGCUCAAAGCCUAGCUAUAUGGUCUCUGGGGCGGUUACAGAACGUCCAGAGCACCUUUCAGACGUGACAUGCAACUAGAAAGCACUGUUAGUAGAGUGACCGAUGCAGCCACCAUCACGGAGCUCAGGGCCGCAUCGAACGGUCACCGGAUAUCCACGUCGCGAAGGGCCCCUACGUGCGUAGUGGACGGACACAGAGAGAAGUAGAGAAGCGCAGAACAGUGCAUAUAAACUCUACGGUAGAAUAGUACUCUAGUCUAGCGCUAGUACGCCGGUAGAGGCAGGUUCCCAACCACCGGUCCACCGAACAUACAUAUCGAAUCCAAUCGGCAUUUUGCAUGUCAUGGCUUGGCAUGGCAUGCAUCGAACUGAUAUCGACAUGAGUUCGGAUCAGAUUGUAUGUACUUGGCCGGAAUGGCAGCGAUAACCUACCGGUCGAUCAAGAGCACAUGCACACGUACUAUACACUGGUGCUGUGGGCCAGAGACCAGUGCACUCAAAGACCAAUAGGUAAUAUUCUACAGUGGUUUAUGGAAAAUAUGUUGACUCCGCAGGCGUAAAUCCCUUUUGGAGCUCGGCCUCCAAUGAGGCCUCCAAAUUCAUAUUUUUACAUUUAAAAAAAUUCUGAAAAUAAAUACAGAUAUACAUCAUUAGUAAAAAAAGGGUCAAAUGUGCGAUACAUUAGUCCCGGUUUGUAACAGAACCGACACUAAUGUGUCCAUUAGUGCCGGUUCCAACGGCUAGGCGGGAGGAGCUCUUUAGUACCGGUUCGUGGUGAACCUUUAGCACCGGUUCGUGCCACGAACCGAUACUAAAGAAAGUGGUGGCAGGAUGUUGUCAGGGUGGGGCCCCUCCAGCACCUUUAGUACCGGUUCGUGGCACGAACCGGUACUAAAGGUCGUCCUAUAUAAACCCUUCAUCCACCCGCACUCUGUUCUUCCCCCUUUCCCCUCUCCCUCUCCUUUGUUUUUCCCUUCUUCCUCUCGAGUUCAUCACAAAUUUUGCUCAAAAUUUGUCAAGAUUUGCAGGCCACCAUCCAUUCAAAUGAUCACAAAGGUUAGCAACUUUGUCCUUUCAUCUCUCUUGCCUUGGUUUAUAUAGUGAUUAAUUGUGGGUUUUAGUAAUUUGGGAGGAAUUAUAUGUGGUAGUAUUUGAUUUAUAUGCAAAUUGAGGUCAAAAUAACACUUAGUUUGCAUAUGUAGGUGUGGUUUACUUAGUGCCUUCUAAAUCUCCGUCGUAACCACCGUCGAUCGCCCGCACCGUCCUGUCGCCGGCACCACCUUGUGGUGAGCCGUAUAAUUAUCUUAUCCGUAUAAAAAAUUGAUGUUUGUGUGAUUUGGAUAUAUAGUUACUCGUAUAAUUAUCUUACCCGUACGUUGUUUGUUAUACAUAGUGCCAUGGUUUUGAUAUCUGUCCCUGUCGGCCCUCGUCCUUGUUAUGAUUCGGAUGUGGUAUAUUCUCUUUUAAAACUAUUUGUUGCAUUUCAUGUUUAUGACAAAUUAUGCCCAUCAAGCUGACAUAGAUAUUUGUAUGUAGGAGGUAGUUGAACCGGAAAUUCCAACCGGCCCUAUUGUCGAGAGGUUAAAUUUAGUUGAAAGAGAAAACGAGCAUUUGAAAGAAAAAUUGAAAAGAAUUGAGGGGGAGAAGAUGGAAUUGGAGUUGCAUGUUGCCGAUGUCGUCGAUGAUCACAAGAUUAAGAUGGAGAAAAUGCGCUCGAAGAUUAGAAAGAUUAGAAAAUAUGCCAUUCAUAGUGAGGCUUGGUAUCAUUAUGCUGUUGGAUUAAUUGUUACCUUAGUUGUGAUCUUGAUCGCAUUUGUUGCAUUUAAAUUCUUUAGCUAGAGAGUUAUUUGUUUGUUGCAUUUAAGUGUUGUAUGAACUUUAUGUAUUGUAUUAAUUUGGUGUUUUUGGUGCUGUGUAUUGAAGAUGAGCCGGCAAUGGAUGUACGAUGAUCGAUGCUCUUCCGAGUUCAUUAAUGGCUGAGGCAAACAAAAGGAUGGUCAUCUAUUUGGGGAUUGCAAGUUCCUUCAAAACUGAAAAUGUUCACAUGGAGGCUGGCUCGUCACUCACUUCCUACCAGUGAUGUUCUGCAUCAUCGAAACAUGUCACCAUCACAUGUGUGUGCGUUAUGCGGAGCAGAUGACAACUGGCGCCAUUCUCUUAUUGAUUGUAACUACGCGCGGUGCGUGUGGGCUCUAUCAAAUGAGGAUAUGGUGCAGUAUAUGUGUAUGGAGAGAGAUGAACAGGGAAAGAGAUGGCUCUUUCUGAUGAGCGAAUCGCUUCCUCAAGAGGAAUUCACUACCAUGAUUGUCACACUAUGGGCGAUUUGGGCAGUGAGGAGAAAGAUAAUCCAUGAAGGAAUUUACAAAACUCCAUUCGCUACUCAUGGUUUUGUGACUAGCUACUUGGCUGAUUUGAAGCACAUACAAAAACCUGUUGAGAGGUCACCGGCAACUCCAAAGGUCCACCCUACUGCUUGGCGGCCACCACCGAAUGAUCAUGUUAAGAUUAAUGUCGAUGCGGCUGUGCCGCGUGCUGGCCAUUUGCCGUGAUGCAUCGGGUGUGUAUUUGGGGGCCUCGGCAGUUGUCUUCAACAACAUAGAGGACCCGGAGGUGCUUGAAGUUCUAGCUACCAGGGAAGCACUGGCGCUUGCCGAGAACUUGUACGAGCAGAAAGUUUUCAUCGCCUCAGACUGCAUAACGGCGGUGGAGGCGAUCAAAGAGGAACGACAGCAACAUAUGGAGCAGUGGUACAUGAAAUAACGGAUAGAGCUCGUUUUUUCUCAUCUUGUUCUUUUAGUCAUGAAUUUCAAUCCUCGGACUUUGAGGCUCACAACCUCGCGAAGCAUGCAUUAACGUUGGGGACUGGCCGCCAUGUUUGGUUAGGCCACCCCAGCGAUCUUUUGUUUGUCCCUGUAAAUAUUAUGACGGUUGAAUAAAAGUUUCGCAAGUUUGUCUAAAAAAAGAAAUGGUUGGGCUGAUUAACAGAAAAAUGAGCUCCUAAAUGCUAAGGUCUAGUAUCUGUUCCCUAAAACGAUAUGGUACAUGCACAUGCAAAUGAGCUCAUAGAAUGCGUACAUGUAAACAUGUGAAAUGCUCAGUAGGUAGGUUGCUCGGUUAAAGUGAGAUAGUAAAGUACGAAACAACUUCUUUUUUAGAAAAGGAGGACGACCACCGGCCUCUGCAUCUGGGCGAUGCAUACGGCCAUUUUAUUAAUUAUUAACACAAGACCGUACAGAGUCAUACAACAAUAAGUCUAAAGCCACCAAAACAAGCAACAACUGUCGCUCUCCCUAUCCAGUUGAUGUAGGGGCGCUGAAAGUGUGAGCCUAAUACCAAAUAGACCACGCAGCCAAACCUAAACAUCUAAAGACUUGAGGUCCCACCCAGGACGCCUGCCUGGUAUGGACACCCACCAGUCCGGCGUGCUUCUCAACCAGGACCCCUGCCGGGUAUGAGGCCGCCGCAGCCGCCUGCCACCAAUCCAUCUUCAGAGCUGUACUGCUGCACCGACCUUGCCAGGCCUAUCUGCCAUCAACGCCACCAUGACGCCAGACAGCUUUCACCUCCUGCACGAGUCCAUCUCCGCGCAUCAGACGCCGAGUCUCCACAGCGCCACGCCGCCGAGAUCCGCCACCAUCAAUGUGUAAGAUGAAGCACCGCUCCACCAAAGUCGCCGUCCUCUAGUCCCUCGAGCCCGUGUGAACCUCCAAGAAUGACGCCCAGGGGGGAAACGACACCAGAGAGCCGCCGUUAUCCGAUCUACUGAUCUAGGGUUUCCCCCGGAGGUAGCAGAGAGUGGCCUUGAACUUCUCCACGACGAUGCCUUCAGGAAGGGAACGACGCAGACAGCGUCGCCAUCGCCGGCCUUGGCAAUAGCCAAUAGCAGGUUUUCACCCCGAUCUGAUCGAAGACCUCCAUCCCUCGUGCACGGAUCGCCGCCAUCCUUGCCGGGAUCUGGAUGAUCCCGCUGCUAGAUCUCAGCAAGGAGAAGCCCCCCACCGAGACCCGCCGGCCGAGCAGGGGAAGCCGAGACUGCGCCCGCAGGAUCAGAUCCGCGAUGGAUCCAUUCCCGUGCCGCCGCCCCGGAAUCAGCCCCGCGCGCAGCCGCCACCGCCUGCCGAGGCUCGCCGUCGCAUGCCCCGCGCCCCGCCACCGCUCGCCGAGGCCUGCCACCUCGCGCCAAACCGCGAGCGCCGCAUGACACCGCCGCCUGCCGCCUAGAUCCGCCGCGCGUGGAGGAAGGGGAGUCGGGAGAGGGAGUCCCCCCGCCGACGCCGUCUGCCAUGCGGGUUUCACCCGGCGGCGUGAGGUGGGGAGAAGGAGAGGACGGCGGCGGCCCUAGGGUUGGAGAGCCCCCGAGUCGCCCAGGGCGGGGGCGACGCGAGGGACGCGAGGGCUGCCUCUGACAGAAAAUAAAUUUGAUCCCCUAAACUAAAUUCCUUGCAGAUCAAAGUGUUGUUUUAAAAUCAAAUACCGCAGACAUUUCAACAUUUGGAAAAAAUGGUCAGUUUAAUCAUUGAACGAAACCAUGGAGUACUUAGCACAGGUACUACAGAGAUGUGUUUGGAUCACGCUACGUGGGAAAAUAUUAGAACUUUGGCAUAUAGAUGGAAAUUGCCACUGGGAUCAAUGAUACGUCCGGUUUGCCACGUGUCUCAAUUAAAGAAGAAAGAAAGGCGCUAAUGUGUGGUGAUCGCCCCAGAAUUACUUUGCGACGAUGGGGACGGGGUAAGAAAAGGGUUGAUUUUGAAAAAAGAACAAUGUGUGGUGGCCAUCGGAGCACAGGGUGAAAGGACCCGCAAGUGAGAUCUAGGAGAAGAGGUAGUGGGAGGAGGAGUCAACGCACAUGAGAGAAAAGUUAUGGGGCCGGAUGGGGAGAGGAAAGGAGACGGUGUGUGGGGCCCACAUGGGACACGUGGCAAAAGAAGGAGGCGGCCGAGUGUGGGGUGAGAUCGGCCGGUGGAUGUUGAGCGUUUCUGAUAUGUUCCUAUACCCCGCAUUGAAAAUCCUCAUCUCUUUUUUGUUAGAAUGCAUAUAUGAUAUCCCUCUGUCUCAUAAGAGUAAUUAAGAAACUCUUGCCAAAAUUGUUAAGCUAAGUAUAAAACGAACUAUGUAGGUGAAAUAUUGCUAAAUUUUCGUUUCAUGCACUGCUGACUAAUCCACGUGACACAUCUAUUUCUCUCUUUCUCAUAUGAAAGGACGAAAGGUAGUGUGAGAAACUUCAACGACCUGUAGUACUCGCGAUCGAAGUACGUAUCAAUCAACAGAAAGUAGGUUAGCUCCUUCUGUGGUCACUGCCCGCUACUUCUGUAGUCACUCCGGUCCCAUGUCUUCGCAAAAGGCACAGCUAGCUUGAUGGGAGUUGGGUUCUUCUACGACUACUCCACGCAGAGUCGUAGACACAAGUGCCCAAGCCCAACCACCGGAUCGACGAACGUAUUGAAUCAGUCGAUCGGCCCCAUGAACAUUUUGCAUGCAAGCAUGGCAUCCACCCAAGGUGCUAGUGCUUGAGGCUAAGGGCAUCUCCAGCCGUUCGGCCCCCCAGGGCGCCUAAAUAGAACGGCCUGGGUGUGCCGGCGCUAGUUCGGCCCCUGGGGGCGACCUAGCUCCCAGUCACGCCCCCAAGCGCCGGCCUCAGGAUGCGGGAAAUUUAAACUUGGUCGUUCCCGCUCUCAAAAGACGCCACAAAUCUAGCGAUCGGACGUAGUCUGGCGUUACAAAAAACAGAGCGCCGCACGCCGCAAGUUCGCGUGAGCAAUGAUUCACUCGGCGGGGUCGGCUCCAGGCGUUGGCAGAGUCGGCGUGCACGGGCUCGGCGGUGUCGGAGCUGCUUCGGUGCUGGGCUGUGUCGGCACGGCUUCGGCACUGCUGGGCGGCGAUGUAGAGGCGUCGUUCGGGCUUGGCGUCCGUGUGGUCGUGGGCGCGGGAGCUUGCGUCGCCGGCGUCGUCGGCGUUGCCGUCUGCAUCUGGUUCAGGAUGAGGCCGCGCUCCGCCAUGUACCACGCCCUGAGCUGCUCGUCGUUGCUCUGGAGCAUGUCCGCCCCGCCCAUCAGAAAAGCCAUGUCGGUGUUCCUCUUCUUCGCGGCGACGUUCGUCCGGAGCAGGUCGAGCUUGAUGGCGCUAUUCUUCAUCAGCGACGACCACCGCGCCUCAGUCUUCUCUUCACGUAGGACGGCCCGGGCCUAGGUGUCGGUGAGGCAAUGCUCGAUGGACUCCUGCACUCGCGUGGUUGCCGCGUCGGCGUUUUUCCCCUUUUUUGCCAAUUUGUGACCGUCUGGCCGCCCCUCUGACGCGCUCAAAGUCGUCGCGUCCGGCUUGUAUGUCUCCUUGGCCUUGUCGAGGGUAUGUCGGACUUCCGCCCACUUCUCACACUUGUCAAUGCGCUUGUAGACAUGGAGGUGCUUAAAGUCGGCGUCUUGGUUGUCGCGCCGAUACAUGGUGGAACAAACAGUUGGCGGGCGGCGGGCAUUGACAACGAAGAGAUGAGGGCGAACGGCGUGCGUACCUGAUCCUCAACGCUGGCGUCGUUCUCCGGGCGAGCCGCGACCUCCUCGGCGAUUCCAUGCCAUUUGUUGCACGCCAACUGGAUACGCCCCCAAUGGUUCGCCAUCGCCUUGGAGCCGCGCUGCAUGUAGACGCAUUUGAAGUACGGGUCGACGAGCUUCCGCUCGUCGAACUCGGCCUUGAUGCGGUCCCAAUACGUCUCGAAGCUCUGGUUCGUGCCGGUGGUCGGAUCGAGGCAGACGACUUUCCAUGCUUCGGCGAGGCAUUCCUCCUCCUUGGAUGUCCACUUGAUGCGUGCUUCGCCUGUCCUAGCCGCCCGCUUCUUCUUCUGGCGCCCCUUCGUCGGAUCAGGAGCUGGCUCCUCCUCCUCCUCGUCCUCGUCCUCCUCCUCGGGUUCCUGCGCUUCGUGCGCGUCCUCGCCGUAGACGUAGCCGAGCUCAGCCUCCAUGUCGCCGCUGAGAUCCACUACCUCGUCCUGGGUGGCGAACCCGGGAGACGCGGCGGCCGCGGUCGAUCCUGUCGCGAUGAUGUCAUCCAUGUCGGCUCCUGUGUUGUCCGUGUCGCCGAGGUGCGAGAAGGGCAGCGGCCCACGGCGGAGAUAGGGCGUCGGUGUGGACGCGUAGGCGGCGGGCGGCGAGUAGUUGUAUGGAGGGUACUGCACGCCAACGAAGGCGGGCGAGGGUGUGCGCGUCGCGGGGUGGCCAUGGGGGAAGGUCACGUUUGGGUUGAACCCCCCGUGCGCGUCGCCGUCGGCGUAGCCGGGCGACGACGAUCCCCAUGGAGAUUCGACGUCUUGCUGUCCCCAGGGCGCGUACUGGGCGUGGAUGACGACGGGUGGAUUCAUCAUCCCCGCGUGGUCGACCGAUGAGGAAGACGCCACCGCACGCGCCGUGUUGUCGCGGGCCUUCUUGGCAAUGACCCUGUUCCGCCGGUCGGUGGUGACUGCGUCGCGUCGCUGAACUUCCACCCUCCACUCGGCGUUUGACAUGCCCGGUGGCUUCGAUGGCGGCGCCCUCGACUUCCUCUGCUUCGGUUGGGCCACGGUGCCAGUCGUGGUUGCCGCCGCACGCAGCAUGGCGUACUUCUUCGGCGGCAUGGUGGCGACUGGAAGGCGAGCUCGAGGGGGUUUGGUGGGAGAAAGGGAGGGAAUGGCGGGAGGAAGACGAGCGAGCGGAGGAGAUGCGAGGGAAAAGCGUCAAGAAGCGGCGGGAAAAGGCCCUCGGGUCGCCGCCAGGGCGGGCCCACGCGCCUUUUUCGCUUGUGCCGGCUCCGCAAGCGCCCCCCAGGGCGCCGGGUUCGGCCUGGAUCCGCCGGCACCAGUUUUGGCCCGAGCCGGCGAAAAACGGGCUUCUGGGGGUGCGACUGGGCCCUUUUUUUGCGCCGGCACGGCAAAAUCGCGUGGGGAGGGCCUGUUGGGGGCGCGGCUGGAGAUGCCCUAAUAGGCAUGUACUCUCUUUUUCUAACACAGUACAAUCGAUGUCGUUUACAUACACAAACAUACACUCACCUCUAUGAAUGUACGCACACACAUCCUAUCUCUAUGAGCACCUCCGUAAUACUGAGCUGGCAUAGCAUCUUGAGAUUUUACAAAGUCCUCACAAACGCUUCCCACUGAACGAACAUUGUCGUCCUGAUGGGCUAGGAUAUCAUUGUUCUCCUAACUAUCCAACCAAAGGUUGUUCGCUAAUAGGCAUGCACUCUAAGAUGUCUUCCCAAGGAUAAUAUUGGCAGCGCUUGCUGGUCGACCUGUGCCACACAUUUUUCUUUUCAAAAAAGAGGAUACCACCCCUAGCCUCUCCAUCGGUUGAUGCACACAACCAUGACUUGGGCCACUCAUGAACAACCCUUUGCAUCGCUUUGGCGAUGUCACAAGAAUUGCCAGUUAAUUUCAUAGAAGCUUAGUGGUUCCGAUUCGAUGUGGCAACUCGACCUUGUGGACAUUCUUUGAGACCUUCUAGUCAAGCGCACUUCAUUUCCCAUGAGGUACCUUGGCUUACCGCUCUUCGUCUGGUAACUCAAGAGGAUGGACUUCCAACAUUUGAAGGACAAACUUCCAUCAAAGCCUGCGCCUUGGGAAGGAAAGAACAUCAGCUCUGAGCGUGCCACACAAUGUUAGCAAAAUCUACACAGCCUUCCUUUGGGCGGUGGCGAAAAAGAUCACGAGCAGGAAAUGCAAAAUCAACUGGAACACUGUUUGUCGAUCGACUCACCUUGGCGAACCUUGGGUUGUUGAUCUUCAAAAAUUGCUAGAGCACUUCGUCAUUGUCCCGUUGAGAGAGAGAGAGAUGUGUGCUUGAUCAAUUUCCCUGUUUGAGAGAGAGAGAGAGAGAUGUGUGCUUGAUCAAUUUCCCUGUUUGGUCCUCGUAGCGAGGUCUCGUUUGGUCGACUGAUGGGUACCAGCUAGUGACAGAGAAUGGCGUGCAGUGUGUGUACUUGCUAGUUCGUUUAUUCCGCCUCAAUCUCUUACCAACAUUUGUCUCGUAGGGGUAGCCACCAGCUACCACGGUGCUAUUGUGCAUAUUCUCUACUUCUAAUGGACGACUUGGUUGAAUAGUCCCCCCAACUUUCAACCGGUUUAUUUUCAACCGGUUUAUUUUCAACCGGUUUAUUUUCAACCGGUUUUUUCCCAUCAAAUUACCCCCACCCCCACGCCCACCCACCGAAACGCGCCCAGCGAACCGGGGAGAGAUCCGUUGAUUUGGCUAAGGUAGGAAAGAAUCUAUUAUUUGUUUGCUAAAACAAAUUGCAUUAAUGGAAGAGAUCCGUUGAUUUGGCUAAGGUAGGAAAGAAUCUAUUAUUUGUUUCCUAAAGGAAAAUUGCAUUAAUGAGAGAGAUCCGUUGAUUUGGCUAAGGUAGGAAAGAAUCUAUUAUUUGUUUCCUAAAGCAAAUUGCAUUAAUGGGAAAGAUCCGUUGAUUUGGCUAAGGUAGGAAAGAAUCUAUUAUUGUUUGCUAAAGCAAAUUGCAUUAAUGAAAGAGAUCCGUUGAUUUGGCUAAGGUAGGAAAGAAUCUAUUAUUUGUUUCCUAAAGAAAAUUGCAUUAAUGAGAGAGAUCCGUUGAUUUGGCUAAGGUAGGAAAGAAUCUAUUAUUUGUUUCCUAAACAAAUUGCAUUAAUGGGAGAGAUCCGUUGAUUUGGCUAAGGUAGGAAAGAAUCUAUUAUUUGUUUGCUAAAGCAAAUUGCAUUAACGAAAGAGAUCCGUUGAUUUGGCUAAGGUAGGAAAGAAUCUAUUAUUUGUUUCCUAAAGCAAAUUGCAUUAAUGAGAGAGAUUUGUUGAUUUGGCUAAGGUAGGCGGUUUUUGCGGUUUGUCGCGACUCAGUGUGAGGUGGGGCGAGGUAAAAAAAAUAUCAUGGAAGGUGGGACGGAAAAAAACCUGGGAGGUGGGAGUUGCCCCUGGUUAACCUACGAAAUUUCAUAGAUUUUUUUAGAACGAAAAAAACCAGUGGAGGUGGGACGAAAAUUGACCGGCGGAGACUACCAAUUGCUCCAUCUCUACUCCUAAUGAAGCAGUUGGUAGCCUGGUACUCCGGUUUUAUUUUCGUCCGGUUUUAUUUCAUCCCACCUCCCACUACAUGUAAGUGCAUUGUGACUAAGGAAGGAUCAAUAGAGAGGUAGAGAGUUUGGUGAUGAUCAUAUUAAGUUUAACCAACAUUUCACAAUUCACAUUAGCAAAGAUUAAACAAAAUCAUAUGACAGCCCUAUCAAUUCCUGCUUAACACUUGGAACAAAAAGCAUCAAGAUAGAACUCAGGAAUCAGUAAGUCAGUAAGUUUACCAUCAAUCAUAUUCGAAACAUAUCAUACGCAUCUUACAUAUUACAAUGAAAGUCUGCAUUAUGCAGAUCAUCUUACAUAUUACAAUGAUAUAUAUUUGUUAGUCCGUGGCAACGCACGGACACUUAGCUAGUAUAUAUAGUAGACUGACAUCUUGUGUCUUCUACGUGCCGUCGGGCAUCCUCCCUCUGCUCCCGUGUUCGUUCGUGCUUUUUGCAGUCCAGUCACUGUUCAUAUCAACCUAUGAUGGAUCCACAGCUAAGCUAGCAAGCAGCCAGGCGGCGCGUAGCAUAUGCAGUUGGGAGUUCGUACGCAUAUCAUAUGCACUGCGGACUAAUCUCGACGGACCCUCGAUCACGCAUUUAUUUCUCUCUAUAUCUCUCUAUCCGAUCUCUCCUUUUCAUAUCAUCAAAGCAUGAAAAGGAAGUGUGGGAAACUUCCAGGAGCUGCUCGUGACCGAGUGUCCAUCAACAGAAAGUACUCCAUAGGUUAUUGUUGCUUGGUCACUCGCCGCUCGAUCCAUCUGUAGGACUGUCUAUUCCAUGUCUCCAUAGGUGUGUAGUGGACUCCAAGUUGGUUGCAUCUUGCAUGUCAUUACAAAAGAUAGACUACAGGCUUAGAUGGGAGUUGGGUUCUUCUAGCUGCUCUUAUUUCUGUGUGUGGGUGUGGGACUGUGGGAGGGAGAUUGAUACACGCGCAGCAUGGUCGUGCUCAAAAGCCUGACUAUAUGGUCUAGUACUCUUGUACUUUGGGGCGGUUAGAACGUCCCGAGCACCUUUCAGACGUGACAUGCAAUAACUAGAAAGCACGGUUAGUAGAGCGACCCAUGCAGCCAACCUUCACGGAUCUCGGGGCCACGUCGAACGGUCACCGGACAGCCACAGGACCCCUACGUUCUUAGUGAACAACACAGAGAGAUGUAGGGAAGCACAUAACAGAGCACAUAUACGUUACAGUAGAAAAGUAUAGCGCUAGUACAUACGUAGACACAAGUGCCCAACCACCGGAAGCAAAUGGCAUGUAUCCACCAUGCACCGAACCGAUCGAUCGAUCGACAUGAGUUCUAAAAGCAAGGGGUUACGGUAAAAAUGUGGCUGGCUGACUCCGCAGGUUUACAUGCCAUCGGUCUGAAUUGCUACUCUCCAUGCUUUCGGAAAGUUGUCAUUUCAGACAAGGAUGGCGCCAAACUUGUAUAUUUUCCGUUCUUUUGCGGGGUACCUUUUAUAUUGUUCACCAUCCACUUGAUUUUUCGGGGUUGGUCAAGCGGUUGGCAAUAUACCCUGUGCUCUGAAUCCUUUGCACACUGAAACUGUGGCUUGUCUGAACAGCCUACAAGCUGCAAGGCAACUAGGUAUAGCUUCGGUUGUUGUGGAAACGUACUCAACUACACUCAUGCAUGCAAUCAGGGGAAAGGACCAAGACCGCUCGGCCAGUGGAGUCAUUUACAGGGAAAUUAAAAUCUUCACUAGGUUAAAUUUUGUACAUUUUAAGAUGGUUUAUUGCCCAAGGGCAAUCUGACAGUUUAGCUGUCCAUGGCGCACAUAUGGGCCACUCAUCCCCAGCCGACGCCGAGGCCAUGAAAUACGAGCCACGCGCGUGGAUCCGGCGACCCUCCUCAGCACCAACGACCGAGGUCGCCGGCGGAGAAGAGCCGCCGGAGGGCAGCGGCGGUGGAAACUGUUGGCGGCUGGACGUUCUUGUUAAUGGAAUAGACUUUAUUCUGGAUAAAGAAAACUUGAUUUUCUAGGGUUUUUUAAUACUUCUAAUACCCCCAUUAAAAGUAGUUCGAUCAGAUUCCUAAAAUUAUUGGUCAUUCGUGUCAACUUGUCACAAAGGUACCCUUGCGAUGAUAUGGUCAUUGUUGGAUUGAUAAAUAUUCAGUGACAUAACGUAAAAUACUCUUGAUGCAGAUGACUCUUGAUGUGAGCCGGGAACGGGCAAAGUACCACGCGCGAGGGAGCGUUCCGACCUAGGAUGGCGCGACCAAACCAGCCAGCCAGGGCUGAAGGUCAGGCCUCCCCUUUGGGCCCGGGGCACGAGCUUGCCCAAUGACGGUGGCCCCGGNNNNNNNNNNNNNNNNNNNNNNNNNNNNNNNNNNNNNNNNNNNNNNNNNNNNNNNNNNNNNNNNNNNNNNNNNNNNNNNNNNNNNNNNNNNNNNNNNNNNNNNNNNNNNNNNNNNNNNNNNNNNNNNNNNNNNNNNNNNNNNNNNNNNNNNNNNNNNNNNNNNNNNNNNNNNNNNNNNNNNNNNNNNNNNNNNNNNNNNNNNNNNNNNNNNNNNNNNNNNNNNNNNNNNNNNNNNNNNNNNNNNNNNNNNNNNNNNNNNNNNNNNNNNNNNNNNNNNNNNNNNNNNNNNNNNNNNNNNNNNNNNNNNNNNNNNNNNNNNNNNNNNNNNNNNNNNNNNNNNNNNNNNNNNNNNNNNNNNNNNNNNNNNNNNNNNNNNNNNNNNNNNNNNNNNNNNNNNNNNNNNNNNNNNNNNNNNNNNNNNNNNNNNNNNNNNNNNNNNNNNNNNNNNNNNNNNNNNNNNNNNNNNNNNNNNNNNNNNNNNNNNNNNNNNNNNNNNNNNNNNNNNNNNNNNNNNNNNNNNNNNNNNNNNNNNNNNNNNNNNNNNNNNNNNNNNNNNNNNNNNNNNNNNNNNNNNNNNNNNNNNNNNNNNNNNNNNNNNNNNNUUUUCCUCUUAAAUAGUUGUACAAAAUGUUAAAUUAAUUACAUGAAUACAAUGAUCUUAAUUCAUAUUGAUUCUUGCAAAUGUCUAUUAUGAAGCCAUAGUGAUAGUCCGGUCACUGAAUUGGUUUGGGUGGUACAAACUUAGAGAUUUGGAGUGAAUUUCAUGAAAUUCAUCCGAGAUAGUCCAUUUUGAACAACCUUCUAGUUUAAUUUUGUGUAACAUUCCCACAUAUUUGUCACAAGUUCAUCUGCCAAUAUUAGGAUUUUUGGAAACAUAUGGUAGUCUUUCUUUUUAAAUAACAACCAGAAAUUCAUUUUGAUCAUUUCCUCCCUAAACAAUCGAAUAUAUCAUUCAUUCACUAUGUCUAAUAUUCUAUAUGUGUACUUGUAUAUAUUUUCUAUACUAUUUUAAGCCAUUAUUUCGUAUACCUAUGGUUCAGAAUGGAAUUGAUUUUAAUAAGUGGGAAUAAAUUAGUUGAAACAAAAGUAAAUGACAUGUAGAGCGGCCUUGACGGCCCCACGAGCACACUCUACUGCCCAUCUGUCUCAGUUGUCACACAUCCUUUCACUUAGGGAAUACAACUUUCGGGUGGACAAAAGUUGGGAUCCUAAACUUCCUAGCUACUUGCUGGUAGGAAGGUGUUGUCCCCCAAGUGCAGAGGUUUGUUGAAAGCGGCACUUUACGAACAAGUGGAUGACCUUAAGAUUUAUCGGAUCAGUGGGAGUACUUUUACUACAGCCUAUGAUCAGUACUUGCACACAACUAUAGUACUUGUCUUGGGCCAGAACGGAACUAAUGAUAUUGUUAGUCUCGCUAGCAUUGCUAGUCACAAGAAGUAAUGUAUCGUGUGGAAGGAAUUGAUAAUGGUAAUAUCAUUAAAGAAUGGUUCAACUUGUAAACGAGAAGUGAAAAUGGUGAUCGUGGUUAAAAGCAACAAGAAUGAAUGGGCGGGGAUCCAUAAUAUCAGUGCGGUGAACAAAUUACAGUUGUGUGGCAACUAAAUUACAGUUUUUAUGACUGUGAUUAUGCAUGGAAUAAUUGCAUAUCAGCAUUACAUCCUUAUAUAUGUAGAGCUUUAUCAAACUACAUUUAUAGCUCAUACUACAGACCAAGAACACUAUCCAACAUGCAUCUCAAACAUAUUAAGUAAACAAAGCAUUAGAUUAAGCAUGAUAGCAUAAUGUUGAUAUAUAAUAUAUUGUCGUUAUCCCUAUGUCAUCACCAGGACAACUACUCAACUAUCUAUUUAUCCUUCUUGGAAACAACAUAGUACAAGCAUUUUUCACUUUUUAUCACUGACGUAGAUGACCUGGGAUAUUGAACACAACCACCAUACAAAACUCCCUCUUGGAGAUCAUUCAUCUAAACAUGAUUAGUGGAAGACUAAUAGACCGGAGAGCAUCUAUCGGUAUAUAAAUUUUUGAGCAAAGAACUCAUAUAAAUCCAACAAUAGAUCAUCUACAGAUCUAACCAUAAAGUGCUAAUUCAUGCCACCAGAGCAUACACACCACAAAAUACAUCAGAUGGAUCACAAAUGUGUAGGGCGGCUCAUGUGACAAUUAUAUUGAAGAGAGAGAGGGAGAGAGAGAGAGAGAGAGAGAGAUUGCUAUCUACCUAAUGUUGUGGACCCAUGGUCAAAGGACGACUACUCACCUGCUCACACAUAAGCAUGGUAGCGGCAAGGAUGGCGAAGAUGAUCUUUGUUGAAGGAUUUCCCCUCCGACAAAGUAUCAGAACAGGCUCCCAGAUUGUAUCUCCUCGGAACAAAGAAGUGGUGGUGCCGAAGGAAUCCUCGAUAAAUAUGAAGGUAUUUUAGGGUUAAUACAAAGGAAGGUGUGUCGAGAGGUGGUGCCUGGAGGCCAUGUGCACCCCAGGCCGCGCCAAUUGGACGGGUGGGACCCUAGCCGCCCAGAUAGGCAUAGGUGACUCCCUCUUCGUCUAUUCUUGAAACUUCACGACAUUUUUUGUUUGAAUUUUGUGGUCUCUGGAAAUUUAAUUUUCCUGAAAAAGAGAUAAUACCCUAUUGUUGGUGGAUGUUUACCUGGCCUCAUAUUGGGAAGGUACAUGUAAAGGAUUGUACAAAGGUGAGUGUCUCUAUUUUCUAGGUCCGCAAGUGAAUGCCCUAGCCUUGCCUUAUAUAUGGGGGCGUAUCCAGAGAGAGAGAGAGAGAGAUGUGUGCUUGAUCAAUUUCCCUGUUUGGUCCCUCGUAGUGAGGUCUCGUUUGGUCGACUGAUGGGUACCAGCUAGUGACAGAGAAUGGCGUGCAGUGUGUGUACUUGCUAAUUCGUUUAUUCCGCCUCAAUCUCUUACCAACAUUUGUCUCGUAGGGGUAGCCACCAGCUACCACGGUGCUAUUGUGCAUAUUCUCUACUCCUAAUGGACGACUUGGUUGAAUAGUCCCCCCCACUUUCAACCGGUUUAUUUUCAACCGGUUUUUUUCCAUCAAACUACCCCCACCCCCACGCCCACCCACCGAAACGCGCCCAGCGAACCGGGGAGAGAUCCGUUGUUUGGCUAAGGUUGGAAAGAAUCUAUUAUUUCUUUGCUAAAGCAAAUUGCAUUAAUGGAAGAGAUCCGUUGAUUUGGCUAAGGUAGGAAAGAAUCUAUUAUUUGUUUCCUAAAGAAAAAUUGCAUUAAUGAGAGGGAUCCGUUGAUUUGGCUAAGGUAGGAAAGAAUCUAUUAUUUGUUUCCUAAAGCAAAUUGCAUUAAUGGGAGAGAUCCGUUGAUUUGGCUAAGGUAGGAAAGAAUCUAUUAUUUGUUUGCUAAAGCAAAUUGCAUUAAUGAAAGAGAUCCGUUGAUUUGGCUAAGGUAGGAAAGAAUCUAUUAUUUGUUUCCUAAAGAAAAUUGCAUUAAUGAGAGAGAUCCGUUGAUUUGGCUAAGGUAGGAAAGAAUCUAUUAUUUGUUUCCUAAAGCAAAUUGCAUUAAUGGGAGAGAUCCGUUGAUUUGGCUAAGGUAGGAAAGAAUCUAUUAUUUGUUUGCUAAAGCAAAUUGCAUUAAUGAAAGAGAUCCGUUGAUUUGGCUAAGGUAGGAAAGAAUCUAUUAUUUGUUUCCUAAAGAAAAUUGCAUUAAUGAGAGAGAUUUGUUGAUUUGGCUAAGGUAGGCGGUUUUUUGCGGUUCGUGGCGGCUCAGUGUGAGGUGGGGCGAGGUACAAAAAAAUAUCAUGGAAGGUGGGACGGAAAAAAACCUGGGAGGUGGGAGUUGUCCCUCGUUAACCUACGAAAUUUCAUAGAUUUUUUUAGGACGAAAAAAAACCAGUGGAGGUGGGACGAAAAUUGACCGGCGGAGACUACCAACUGCUCCAUCUCUACUUCUAAUGAAGCAGUUGGUAGCCUGGUACUCCGGUUUUAUUUUCGUCCGGUUUUAUUUUCUAGGUCCGCAAGUGAAUGCCCUAGCCUUGCCUUAUAUAUGGGGUAGACAGGGCUAGGGUUUACAAUUGUCAUAUGUCGGGUUGUUGUAACAACAUAUUAAUAGUGUGCCAUACCUCCUAGUUAAAGUUUGUACUAAUGACACAUCAAAGCCUAUCUGAGUGGGCUUCACGGAAUGUAUCCAGUCAAAUGGGUUUCUCGAAAUGUGUCCAGUCGAGUGUGCCUCCCCGACCAUAUGUGCCACACCGGGCAUCCUAAGUCAGUUCUCUUCUUGGGCCUAUCCUUAGGGGACAAGCCGUCAUUCAUUGCUCGCUUCAUCCGAGUGGAUUUUUGUUUCCUUUCUAAAAUUCUCUAGUUUUUUAGGCUGGGUUUUCCUUUUAUGAUUUUAAUUUCAGUUUUCUUUCAACAAAUUUUAUUUGUAAAAUUUAUUUUUAUUUCUUUUCCAUUUGAUAUAAUUUUUUUUGGAGAUGCGAAAUUUAAUAUUUUUCCUGAAAUCUAAAAUUAUUCAAGAAAUUAAAAAAUCUUUGUAAAUUUUCGAAAAUAUCCAUAACAUUCAUGAAUUUAAAAAUUAUUCUGAUAUUGCAAAUGUUCAUGAAUUUUAAACAUGUUGUAUACUUCAAUAAUUCACAAUGUUUUAAAAAUGUCAAAUUUAUGAAAGUAUGUAAAAAGUUAAAAAUAUUUGUAUUUGAAAAACAUUCACGAAUGUUAAGAAGAGCCCUCAGGGUUAAAGACAUAGCUUGAAAUGGCUGAUUGGGCCGGCCCAUAAUGGAUCACCCUAUGUGCGUCACGCCCCGAUCUGACGCACAAGCAAACAAACAUGUAUACCCUAAAAAAUGCAAACAAAAAUGUACUAAAUGUGCAUUAUUUACUUCGUAUUGGAAAAUUUUAACUUUUUUUGGCACAUGUCAGAGGAGAGAGCACAUCAGUGAUCUGAAUCCUGAAUUCAGGCAUCCUUGGGAACAAAAGGCUUGUUUUACUUCAACAGAGACUUAUGGUGUCUUGAUCCUUUGUGUUGAUAUUUUCACUUAGAACAAUGAGUUUAUUUUGCUGGCACAUACCUAGUCGGGGUUCAUCUGUUGGGUCAAUUAUUCCACAAAAUAAUACUACCUCCAUAACAUAAUAUUAACGUUUUUGCACUUAGUACUAAUUAACAACAUAUAGUACUUACUAUAUUGCAUCGCUCAGAGGCUCGUAUGGUGUGUCAGUGAGACAUGAGCCGACAGCGGCACAGAACAAGGAACGUGUAGUAAUGAACUGCCUUCCCCAAAAGGAAGUGUCCUCUUCCUCUAUCUUUGGCCGAACAAGCUAGCUAGAGAGUCGUUUCGCUGCUACCUCUGCCACCUAUGUGAACUGCGCUCAAAAAAAAAAACUAGUCAGCUAAGUAGCUUCUAUGUAGAGGAAUGGAAGAAUAAGGGCAACUCCAACGCACGAUUCCAAAUGGUCCGUCCACGUCCGUUUGAUGGUAAACGGACAGGGCAGGCCCUUCAACGCGCAGAAGCAAACGAACCGUCAUCGUCUAUUUUCUGUCCGCUUUCGACUCGUUCUCGGCCCAACUUUAGGCCGAGUUUGUGGUCGAACGGACACGCGCGGACGGGCAGGGCGCGUGCCUUUUGUCCUGUCCUGGCCCGCCCGUCGGAGACACAGAUAGACCCGCCCCCUUCUCUUCCUCUACCUUCCUCCGCCCACCCCCCCCACCCCCGACAUUGCCGCCGCCACCAUCGUCCCUGACCACCUCACCUUCCACCAGGGCCAUCCGAACCACUACCACGCCAUGCCAUAGUUGUCUCACACCGACGUCCCGGAAAGCAUUUUGCUGACAUUCGUGGUUGCCGGNNNNNNNNNNNNNNNNNNNNNNNNNNNNNNNNNNNNNNNNNNNNNNNNNNNNNNNNNNNNNNNNNNNNNNNNNNNNNNNNNNNNNNNNNNNNNNNGAACCACUACCACGCCAUGCCAUAGCUGUCUCACACCGACGUCCCGGAAAGCAUUUUGCCGACAUUCGUGGUUGCCGGCGUUCGUGGAAGAGAAGCUACGGUCGCCAACAUCGCCCGUCAUCCCCAACCUCUUUCGGCAGGCCGUUCGUUGCCGCAGGGCACCCACCAACACCUCAACCCCCAAAACCUUGCUUUACUGCCUGCGAGGGGAGGACGACGUGCACUAUCCGGCAACCAAUAGAUCUAUCUAUCGGUUUAAUUUCUUUUCAUGCAAACAAAUUUCAAUUGGAUUGUAAUAAGACUAUUUGAUAUUAUUUUUAUUUCGAUUGGGUUGUAAUAAGACUAUUUCGGACGUGCAACUAUUGCCAUGUUUAAUUUGAGAUAUUUGUUAUUCUUGAACGGACGAGAUGCGGCCGAAAUGUGGCCGUGCGUGGCGAAUCCAUAAAUUCAGACGGACACGAACCCAUUGCCACCUUCAAACGGACGAAAAGUAGAUAAAACGGGUCGUGCGUUGGAGUUGCCCUAAGAAUAUUACUUCAGUCUUCAGAUAGCCUGGAACUCAGGUACAAGUGUGUGUGUCGGUGUGCUGUUUGUAGAGAGAGAGAGGGAGGGAGGAAGAGACAGAGAGUCGUGCGUCGAUCGAUCUCUCCGUGCAGUCGUCGUGGCGAGGUGGAUCGGUCCAUCGAUCGGUCACUUGCCAGAGUUUAGGUACGUGCAACGUCAAUUUACAAGGUGUCAGGCCCAGGGACGGAGCUAAGGGGGGACGAGCGGGGGCCAGGCCCCCCCAAUGGCUGCCUCGUACUGAAGUACCGUAGNNNNNNNNNNUCCCGGAAAGCAUUUUGCCGACAUUCGUGGUUGCCGGCGUUCGUGGAAGAGAAGCUACGGUCGCCAACAUCGCCCGUCAUCCCCAACCUCUUUCGGCAGGCCGUUCGUUGCCGCAGGGCACCCACCAACACCUCAACCCCCAAAACCUUGCUUUACUGCCUGCGAGGGGAGGACGACGUGCACUAUCCGGCAACCAAUAGAUCUAUCUAUCGGUUUAAUUUCUUUUCAUGCAAACAAAUUUCAAUUGGAUUGUAAUAAGACUAUUUGAUAUUAUUUUUAUUUCGAUUGGGUUGUAAUAAGACUAUUUCGGACAUGCAACUAUUGCCAUGUUUAAUUUGAGAUAUUUGUUAUUCUUGAACGGACGAGAUGCGGCCGAAAUGUGGCUGUGCGUGGCGAAUCCAUAAAUUCAGACGGACACGAACCCAUUGCCACCUUCAAACGGACGAAAAGUAGAUAAAACGAACGUCCGUUUAGGGUCGCGCAUUGGAGUUGCCCUAAGAAUAUUACUUCAGUCUUCAGAUAGCCUGGAACUCAGGUACAAGUGUGUGUGUCGGUGUGCUGUUUGUAGAGAGAGAGAGAGGGAGGGAGGAAGAGACAGAGAGUCGUGCGUGGAUCGAUCUCUCCGUGCAGUCGUCGUGGCGAGGUGGAUCGGUCCAUCGAUCGGUCACUUGCCAGAGUUUAGGUACGUGCAACGUCAAUUUAAAAGGUGUCAGGCCCAGGGGCGGAGCUAAGGGGGGACGAGCGGGGGCCAGGCCCCCCCAAUGGCUGCCUCGUACUGAAGUACCGUAGCGUAGGUCCCAGGAGAUUAGGCAAGGUCAAUUAGAUUUAGGACUAAUUGCCCCCCCCCUCCCCCCUAACAGUGCGGUCAAGAAGGUUUGCAAGUUGAAGCCCAUGUAUUAAAAUACCCCAUGUGGCCAUGCUGGUAGUUGUGGAAGCUGACCAGGCCCACGAUCGAGAGCAUCCUCUGAGGCUUCAAUCGUUUCGGCCCCGACGCACGACGUACACAAGCUCGCUUUUCCAAAAAAACGCACAAGAGCUCGCUGCGCGUAGCCGUCUACGGAAGUAGACGAGGGCAUCCGUACAACAGAUUAGCGCCGCCGCCGUCGCCGAUGGCGGAAUAAUCUUAAGGUGAGUCUUCUAUGUUGCUUCAUUGAUUUAUAUAUGUACCAUGGAAUACUGAUGAACUGAUCCACAUCUUUCUCCACAAAGACUAGAAAGUUUUUGCCUUUGAUUGGAUUAAUUAGGGCUGGCAAUUUUUUGUUUAUUCUAAAAAAUAGGUAUGCACUGAUUCUAUCAUCUUAAUUUCAGAAUUUGCCCUUAGGACAACUCAACAGGACUCACCUCAGAUCUAAGGUAUAUCAUCGGCUCAUGUCUACAUCAUCACAAGUUAUUAUUAUUGUUAGAAUUCCACAAACUGAUAGAUUCUAGUUUCUAUUUUUCUGUCCGGUUAGAAAAUUACAUACCAGUUUGUAUACAUGAUAACUUAAAUAUGAAAUUAGCUUACACAGAAACUACCGAUCAAAUAUUCCGGCAUGAGUAAAAUUUACACAGCAAGCUAGAAUAGGAAACGCACCAUAUAAGAAUAUACAUUUUGUCCUGUGAGUUUUAGGCAUAAGAACCACAUUCAGACUAAUGAAAAUCUACCAUUUUCUAAUUGCAAAAUCCAUAUUAUCUUGUAUUCCUCAUUAGUUUUAGGCAUAAGAAGUCCUGUGGAAUGGUUAUUGUUAGGAAAAAACUUCUAUAUGUUCAUUGAANNNNNNNNNNNNNNNNNNNNNNNNNNNNNNNNNNNNNNNNNNNNNNNNNNNNNNNNNNNNNNNNNNNNNNNNNNNNNNNNNNNNNNNNNNNNNNNNNNNNNNNNNNNNNNNNNNNNNNNNNNNNNNNNNNNNNNNNNNNNNNNNNNNNNNNNNNNNNNNNNNNNNNNNNNNNNNNNNNNNNNNNNNNNNNNNNNNNNNNNNNNNNNNNNNNNNNNNNNNNNNNNNNNNNNNNNNNNNNNNNNNNNNNNNNNNNNNNNNNNNNNNNNNNNNNNNNNNNNNNNNNNNNNNNNNNNNNNNNNNNNNNNNNNNNNNGCUCCGCCCCUGGUCGGGCCAUGCGUGUGUGCGUGUGUGCUGGACUAGCUCGCUGCUGGUGCAACGUCGAUCUCCAGCAAAGAAAGAAGAGAAUCGUCGCCCGCAUGAAUCAUCAUCAGUGACAGCAACUGCAUGUGAAGUGUACUUGCUGGCUCGUUAAUUCCGCGUCAAUCUCCUACCAACAUUUGUCUCGAUCGCAGAGCUGGGUAGCAAGCAGCCGGGCGCGCGAACCGGGUACUCCUUCCGGUCCUUUUUACUCUGCAUAUUAGGUUUGUCCGAAGUCAAUUUCAUCCACCUUUAACCAAGUUUAUAUAAAAAAUUAUAGACAUUCACAUAACAACACCAAUAUCAUUAGAUUCAUCUUGGAAUAUAUCUUCAUAUUAUAUUUAUUAGAUAUUAUAGAUGCUAAUAAUUUCUAAUAUAAAUUUGAUCAAACUUAGCAAAGUUUGACUUUUGGCAAAUCUAAUGUGCAGAGUAAAAAGGACCGGAGGGAGUACAUGCAUGCAUGCAUGAUCACACAUUAAUUUCUCUCUCCGUCCGAUCUCUCUUUCUCAUACCAAAGCAUGGAAAGAAAGUGUGGGAGAAACUUCAACGAGCUGCUCGUGAUUGGUCACUGGACACUCGAUCCAUCUGUAGGGCUGUAGGAGUGUAGUGGACUCCGUGUUGGUUGCAUCUUGCGUAUAUCGCUACAAAAGAAAUACUACAUCUAGCUUGAUGCAUGGGUGUGUGGGUGUGGGAGAUUGAUGCACGCUCAGCAUGGUCGUGCUCAAAGCCUAGCUAUAUGGUCUCUGGGGCGGUUACAGAACGUCCAGAGCACCUUUCAGACGUGACAUGCAACUAGAAAGCACUGUUAGUAGAGUGACCGAUGCAGCCACCAUCAUGGAGCUCAGGGCCGCAUCGAACGGUCACCGGAUAUCCACGUCGCGAUGGGCCCCUACGUGCGUAGUGGACGACACAGAGAGAAGUAGAGAAGCGCAGAACAGCGCAUAUAAACUAUACGGUAGAAUAGUACUCUAGUCUAGCGCUAGUACGCCGGUAGAGACAGGUUCCCAACCACCGGUCCACCGAACAUACAUAUCGAAUCCAAUCGGCAUUUUGCAUGUCAUGGCUUGGCAUGGCAUGCAUCGAACUGAUAUCGACAUGAGUUCGGAUCAGAUUGUAUAUACUUGGCCGGAAUGGCAGCGAUAACCUACCGGUCGAUCAAGAGCACAUGCACACGUACUAUACACUGGUGCUGUGGGCCAGAGACCAGUGCACUCAAAGACCAAUAGGUAAUAUUCUACAGUGGUUUAUGGAAAAUAUGUUGACUCCGCAGGCGUAAAUCCCUUUUGGAGCUCGGCCUACAAUGAGGCCUUCAAAUUCAUAUUUUUACAUUUAAAAAAAUUCUGAAAAUAAAUACAGAUAUACAUCAUUAGUAAAAAAAGGGUCAAAUGUGCGAUACAUUAGUCCCGGUUUGUAACAGAACCGACACUAAUGUGUCCAUUAGUGCCAGUUCCAACGGCUAGGCGGGAGGAGCUCUUUAGUACCGGUUCGUGGUGAACCUUUAGCACCGGUUCGUGCCACGAACCGAUACUAAAGAAAGUGGUGGCAGGAUGUUGUCAGGGUGGGGCCCCUCCAUCACGUUUAGUACCGGUUCGUGGCACGAACCAGUACUAAAGGUCGUCAUAUAUAAACCCUUCGUCCACCCGCACUCUGUUCUUCCCCCUUUCCCCUCUCCCUCUCCUCUGUUUUUCCCUUCUUCCUCUCGAGUUCAUCACAAAUUUUGCCCAAAAUUUGUCAAGAUUUGCAGGCCACCAUCCAUUCAAAUGAUCACAAAGGUUAGCAACUUUGUCCUUUCAUCUCUCAUUGCUAGAUUAGCUCUAGCCUUGGUUUAUAUAGUGAUUAAUUGUGGGUUUUAGUAAUUUGGGAGGAAUUAUAUGUGGUAGUAUUUGAUUUAUAUGCAAAUUGAGGUCAAAAUAACACUUAGUUUGCAUAUGUAGGUGUGGUUUACUUAGUGCCUUCCAAAUCUCCGUCGUAACCACCGUCGAUCGCCCGCACCGUCCUGUCGCCGGCACCACCUUGUGGUGAGCCGUAUCAUUAUCUUACCCAUAUAAAAAAUUGAUGUUUGUGUGAUUUGGAUAUAUAGUUACUCGUAUAUUUGUUAUACAUAGUGCCAUGGUUUUGAUAUCCGUCCCCGUCGGCCCUCGUCCUUGUUAUGAUUCGGAUGUGGUAUAUUCUUUUUUAAAACUAUUUGUUGCAUUUCAUGUUUAUGACAAAUUAUGCCCAUCAAGCUGACAUAGAUAUUUGUAUGUAAGAGGUAGUUGAACCGGAAAUUCCAACCGGCUCUAUUGUCGAGAGGUUAAAUUUAGUUGAAAGAGAAAACGAGCAUUUGAAAGAAAAAUUGAAAAGAAUUGAGGGGGAGAAGAUGGAAUUGGAGUUGCAUGUAGCCGAUGUCGUCGAUGAUCACUAAAUUAAGAUGAGAAAAUGCGCUUGAAGAUUAGAAAGAUUAGAAAAUAUGCCAUUCAUAGUGAGGCUUGGUAUCAUUAUGUUGUUGGAUUAAUUGUUACCUUAAUUGCGAUCUUGAUCGCAUUUGUUGUUGCAUUUAAAUUCUUUAGUUAGAGAGUUAUUUGUUUGUUGCAUUUAAGUGUUGUAUGAACUUUAUGUAUUGUAUUAAUUUGGUGUUUUCGGUGCUGUGUAUUGAAGAUGAGCCGGCAAUGGAUGUACGAUGACCGAUGCUCUCCCGAGUUCAUUAAUGGCGUGCAUACUUUUCUGCUUGCUGCUGAGGCAAACAAUCGGGCGGAUGGUUUUAUGCCUUGUCCAUGUGCUGGUUGUAAGAAUGGUCACAAUUACUCUAUGUCAAGAACCAUUCACGUCCACCUGUUUGAGUUCGGUUUCAUGCCCCACUAUAAUGUUUGGAUCAAGCACGGAGAAAGAGGGGUUAUGAUGGAAGACAAUGAAGAAGAAGAGGAUGACAACAGCUAUCCUGGCCAUGGGUUCCCUGAAUACGAUGAUACAACAAUGGGGGAAGAAGCUGAGCCGGUAAUGCGAGAAGAAGCUGAGCCGGCAAUGCGGGAAGAAGCUGAAGAAGAGGCAUCAGAUGAGCCCGUUGAUGAUCUAGGUCGGGCCAAUGCCGAUGCAAAGAGAAACCACGCAAGUGAAUUGGAGAAGAAGAAGUUGCAGCGCAUGUUAGAGGAUCACAAAAAAAUGUUGUACCUGAAUUGCGUAGGUGACAAGAAAAAGUUGGGCACCACACUGGAAUUGCUGCAAUGGAAGGCAGAGAAUGGUGUAUCUGACAAGGGAUUCGAAAGUUGCUGGUAAUGAUAAAGAAUAUGCUUCCAAAGGACAACGAAUUGCCCGAGAGUACGUACGAAGCAAAGAAGGCUGCCUGCCCUCUAGGGUUAGAGGUGCAGAAGAUACAUGCAUGCCAUAAUGAUUGCAUCCUCUACCGCGGUAUGCGGUGCAUUGCGCUAUAAGAUCAGCCGCGAUGACCCUGAUGAUGUCGAGGGCGAGCGCCCCAGGAAGAAUAUUCCUGCCAAGGUGAUGUGGUAUGCUCCUAUAAUACCACGGUUGAAACGUUUCUUCCAAAACAAAGAGCAUGCCAAGGCGAUGCGAUGGCACAGAGAAGACCGUAAGAAAGACGGAAAGUUGAGAGUACCCGCUGAUGGGUCGCAGUGGAGAAAAAUCGAAAGAAAGUAUGGGAAGGAGUUUGCAGAUGACGCAUGGAACGUAUGGUUUGGUCUAAGCGCAGAUGGCAUUAAUCCUUUUGGGGAGCAGAGCAGUAACCAUAGCACCUGGCCUGUGACUCUAUGUUUGUAUAACCUUCCUCCUUGGUUGUGCAUGAAGCAAAAGUUCAUUAUGAUGCCAGUGCUCAUCCAAGGCCCUAAGCAACCCGGCAACGACAUUGAUGUGUACCUAAGGCCAUUAGUUGAAGAACUCUUACAACCGUGGAAUGGAACAGGUGUACGUGCGUGGGAUGAGCACAUGGGGAAGAAUUUGACCUAAAGACGUUGUUGUUCGUGACCAUCAAUGAUUGUCCUGCUCUCAGUAACCUUUCAGGACAGACAAACAAGGGAUACCAUGCAUGCACGCACUGUUUGGACGAUACCGAUAGUAUAUAUUUGGCUAAUUGUAAGAAGAAUGUGUACCUGGGACAUCGUCGAUUUCUUCCGAGCAGCCAUCCCGUAAGAAAGAAAGGCAAGCAUUUCAAAGGUGAGCCGGAUCACCGGACGAAGCCUCGCCACCGUACUGGUGCUGAUGUACAUGAUAUGGUCAAGGAUUUGAAGGUGGUCUUUGGAAAGGGUCCUGGUGGACAACCUGUUCCGAAUGACGCUGACGGACGCGCACCCAUGUGGAAGAAGAAAUCUAUAUUUUGGGACCUGCCCUAUUGGAAAGACCUAGAGGUCCGCUCCGCAAUCGAUGUGAUGCACGUGACGAAGAAUCUUUGUGUGACCCUGCUUGGCUUCUUGGGCGUGUAUGGGAAGACAAAAGAUACACCUGAGGCACAGGAGGAUCAGCAACGUAUGCACGGAAAAGACGGCAUAUAUCAGGGUCAUGCAAGCUACGCUCUUACCAAAGAAGAGAAGGAAAUCUUCUUUGAAUGUCUGCUCAGUAUUAAGGUACCGUCUGGCUUCUCGUCGAAUAUAAAGGGAAUAAUAAACAUGGCAGAGAAAAAGUUCCAGAACCUAAAGUCUCAUGACUGCCACGUGAUUAUGACGCAACUGCUUCCGGUUGCAUUGAGGGGGCUUCUACCGGAAAACGUUCGAUUAGCCAUUGUGAAACUAUGUGCAUUCCUCAAUGCAAUCCCUCAGAAGGUAAUUGAUCCAAAAAUCAUACCAAGGUUAGAGAAUGAUUUGGUGCAAUGUCUUGUCAGUUUCGAGUUGGUGUUCCCACCAUCCUUCUUCAACAUCAUGACGCACGUCCUAGUUCACCUACGCGAAGAGAUUAACUUUUUGGGUCAUGUAUUUCUACACAAUAUGUUACCCUUUGAGAGGUUCAUGGGAGUCUUAAAGAAAUAUGUUCAUAACCGUGCUAGGCCAAACCAUACACCUGCAUGUAUUCUAGAUCGAAACCUGCAUCUAUGCAUAGCACGGCUCUUGAUGCCACUAUAGGGUAUUGCAUAAUAUAAUUAGGUGGUAGAUAAGAUCUAUUGCUGAAAAUUAUUUAUGCGGGUGACAGAUGAAAUCUGUUACCCGACGUUCUUGUUGCUUCCCUAGAAUUUGUGUUUUCUCAAUCUCGAGACAGCAUGGUGGAAUUUGACAAAGUUCUGGCAAUCCGUGAUCCUGAUUGAUCAUGGUAGUGCUAUCAGUUCUUUGGGUUCUACCGUAGUCAAAAGAAAUAUGAAAUUCGCAGAUGAAAGGGCAUUGCAGAUAUGGUCUGCACGGGGGUCAUGCGUAUGACGAAGUUUAGUAUGGGGCUCGAGAUUUAAUUAUCUCGUGUUUCAUACACCCCGAGAUGUUAAUCUAGCAACUUGAAUAAUCAUACUUGAUGAUAAAACAUUGGUAGCUGCGGUUUAAGUCAAAACCUUAGAAGCCACGUAAAAUAAAAUUUUGCAUAAACUGAUUAGAGGCGUCUAACUUGGUUUUGCAUGAUGUGCAUGUGAUGUGGUAUAGCAAUGCACAUAUUCAAUUUGAUUAUGUAUGAGAUGACUAUAUGAUGUAAUUAACAUGACCUGCGUGUCAUGAUUUGGCAUGAUGGCUGGAGCCAUAUGAUUGUCACUUUAAUGACCUGCGUGUCAACCUUAAGUAAUGCACUUAUUUUAUUAGCUAUAGAGAUAGCAAUAUUAUCUGGUGCAUCGACAAGGUGGUGGCAAUCUUCGUGAAGGUGAACACCGACGCGAAUGCCGAAGAUGAAGGAAUGAAAGACUUCUCCGUCAGAAAGGGCUAUACCAUAUCAUGCUAUUAUGAAUUGCCUGAGAUGUUUAUCCCUUAUGAUGCACCCUUCUUGAUUGCGCGGUAAUCGCUUUUUUAUUAGGGUGAUCUCUCACUUAAAAUAUCAAAGUAGUUAGUGUUCUCCCAAGUGUAGCACCGUUUGAAAUUUGUAUCUUUUUGGGGUGCGCCAUGUACACAUGAGCACGAAUGAAUCGAGAGGAAUGAGGCGGGUGAGGUCAGACCUCGCAGCAAGAUCACUUGGUUGUCUUUGACGUUCAGGCAGGAGAGUCCUGAGCUCGGAACACGCCCAUCGAAAGAUGAACAAGAAUCACAUAGAGAUGUGAUCGACAAGUUGGCCUACCGAUUGAAAUUCAUGUCAUCAGUGAUGAACCCGUCAAUGGCAUCGAAUAGAAAUAUGGAUCUUGAAUCACUCUAAAUCAAUCAUGAGAGAUAUUGAUUUGAGUGGGAGCGCACUGUUGAAUUAACAUGUUUAAUUCUCAGUGCAAUUAAUUAUGAACACUGUCUAAGUGUUUCUUGCAAAAUAGUUGUAGAAUAAUGGCCCGCGAUUCCACUUUACCUGUUAAAAUUGAAUAGGUGUUAACUAUCUGGUUAAAACUUUACGAUUGGUAACGUAAUUUGAGGAUUGUCCUCAAAAGUGCCGAGAAGGACUUUGUCCUAUCGCAUGCUUUCUGUAUCCUCCCUCUAAUGCUAUGGAUCAUGUGACUCUCGUCCUUCGAUCCAAAAGCUAGAAUUCUGUUACGGUCAAGUGGAAUAUGUUUGCUUCCAUGAAACACAAACUUCGAAAGUUGGGAUAGUUAUAUGAUAUUCAUGGAACUGAAAAUUAUUUUCAGAUACAAACAAAGCAAUGUUUGUUUGCAAGUAUUAGUAAAAGUGUUUACUAUGCAUUUGACUGUUGGGAAAGGGAUCCAGAAGAACGCCUGUCAUACAAUGAAAGGUGAAUAAAACAACAACUUAAAGAGAAAGGAAGUGUCCAAAGGGUGUUAGUAUGACUUACACGCCUAGGAAGUCUGGGGCUAACGCCACUCUUAAGUUGGGUGCUUCUUUUGCGAGUAGGAGAAAUACUAAAAGUUAAAUAGUUAGAAGUAUAAAGGCAGAAAGAGAGAUGACUGGAAUAUCCAGCUCAUGUAUGAAUGUCAUACAAGUUUUUGAUGUAUAGUAGGCUGGUCAAAGAUAUAGUUCUUGGGAAUUAUGGUUAAACAUGUUAAUCACUAAUUCUUGGGUAUUGUGAGUUAAUCACAAAGAUACCCGCUCGAUUGCAUUCUGUUGCGAAUCAAUGUAAGAGCUACUAUGGCCUAAAAGGACUAGCCAGAAAUGAGGUUAAGGUAUACACAGGGAACAUAGUAAAUGUUACUAUACCUUCCAUCGGUGUAUUGUCGUCUAUAUUUAUUUUCAUAAUUCAUUUAGAGUUUUACAAACUCUAGCCCGUUGCAUAAGGUAUCUUGCAAGAAGGUUGUUCAUAAGAGAACUUUUUAUGUUCGAUGUUAUGAAUAACACAAGGGCCAUACUUUCAUUAUGAAUGAGAUGUAUGUUAUGAAUAUUGAUAAUAAUACAAUACCUCUGGAUUUACUUUCAUAAUUCAUUUUAGAGUUUCAUACACUCUAGCUCAUUGCACAAUGUUUGUUGCAAAAGAGUUGUUCAUAAAAAACAACAAUUGUUGUUAAGUAUUAUGAAUAACGUGAAGGGCCAUGCUUCUAUCCAAGAUGGGAUGUAUGUUAUGAAUAUUGAUGGUAAUAUGAUACAUCCAUAACACUGACGCUAAAUGUCGCAAGACUAAAAGAAUAACACACAAGUGUGGCACUACAUUUGGUCACAAUGGAGAAACCCGCAUGGAAAAAUUCCAUUAUGAUGGAUUUUGAAGUCGUUUGAUUUUGAAUCAUCUCACACUUGCAACUUUCUCCGAAAAGUGAAGUGACUGAAAUACCGUUCACAGGCCAUAAGGAACGAGCAAAAAACUUAUUGGUGAUCAUACAUUUUGAUGUGUGUAGUUCAAUAAAUGUUGUUGCAAGUAGUGGAUUUAUAUAUCUUCAGAAAUGACUCAAGUAGAUAUAUGGAUAUUUGCUUGAUGAGACGUAAGUCUGGAUCUUUUGAAAUCAUUCGAAAGGUUUUCAAAAAUGAAGUAGAAGUUAUUGUAACAAGAAAAUUAUGUUUCUGCAAUUUGAUUGCACAAAGAAAUAUUUGAGUUACAUGUUUAGCGAAUGUCUGAUGAGUUGUGAAAAGAGUUUCAUAACUUACACCUUCCGGAACACCACUAUGAGUGGAAUGUCUGUGAAGAUGUAAUCAAACCAUUUAUGACAUGGUAAGGUCAAAGAUGACAUAAAUAAAUUUGUCAUUAUCCCUUUUAAAGUGAUGCUUUAGAGACUGCGGCUUUUACACUGAAAAGAGCUACAUCGGGUCUGUUGAAAUGAAGCCAUGGUAUGGUACGCCCAACUAUGUUAUAUCUUUUCUUAACAUUUGGAAAAUGGGGCUUGUUUAAAAGGUUACAAACCUAUUCCAAAUCAGACAAGUGCUACUUUGUAGUUUAUACCAAAAUGUUGGGUAUCCUCCCUCACUAUACCGAGGCAAAUAGUUUUGCCGCGAAACGGUGUGCUUUUAAAGAGAAUGGUUCUUUCAAAAAGGUGAGUGGGAGAAUAGUGCAACUCGACGAGAUAAACAGUAUCUUCGUCAUCAGGUCAAAGGAAAGAGACAUUGGAUGUAAUUCCAGAGUUUCCUACUGCGACUGAUACGGAAGUCUCUACAAUAAAAUGUAUGAACUUCGGUCGAACUUGCAGCUGAAGCACGUAGGCAAGGCUCGUGCAAACCUCUCAGGUGCGCAAACGAGAUAUUGUUGUUUGACAACAUUAUACCUACGAUACACAAGGAAGCGUUGAUGGGCCCUGACUCCGGAAUUGGCUAAAUGCCAAUACAACCCGAGUUAGUUUCCAUAUAAGUGAUUCAAGAUUAAAACCUUGAUACACCUUUCGGAAGACUUAGAGUCUAACGAAUAUUUAUGGAACUUUAAACUGAUACGGAUAAAAAUAUUUUAUCCAUAAAGCUUGACUUGUUGAAAUAACAAGUUAAAGAGUUUACUACGAUAAGGUUGUUUUCAUCGUAGCGAUGCUUAAAGUCGGUUCGGGUUGAACUAGCAAUUAAAACAUAUUUUAAUCAUGAGAUAUGAAACAUGGAUGACAAUAGGAUUUCCAUCUAAUGGAAAUGAAACCAAGGACUUGCAUGUGUUACAGUCCAAGGCAUUUUGUCUAUCUAGAGGAUGCUAGUAAGGGUGCAAACUUCAGAGUUCCAGCGAUGGACAGAAGAGAGCAAAAUGGAGUUGGAAUCUUCAUGCUUUGAUGAAAUGGUCAAAGGGUUCUGACUACAUCAAUGGGUAACGAAGAUACUUGUAAUUGAAGAAAGUAAGUGGGAGCGUAAAAAUAUUUCUAAAAACCUUGUGUGCUUGACACAUUGUUAAUUGGAAAUAAAUUUCUUGACAUGAAUUAGGACUUCAUUUGAAAUUGUUUUUGAUGAAGUACUUAGGCUAAAUAGCCUCAAUUUUAGGCAUGAUGAUCUAUGGAGAUAGAUUUACCUAAUAUGGCUAAGCAAUGAAUACAUAUUGACAAGGUGCUAAAACCUAUUUAGCAUUUAAAACGCCAAGGAGUGAUUCUUGACUAAGUCACAUGGAAAGAGGUUUUACAAGACUCGGUGUCCCAAAACACUAAGGAGUAAAAUACAUGAUGGAGAUUCCACACACCUUCGUGUUUUGGAUUAAUCAUGUAUUCCAUGGUAUCUAAAACAACCAGAUAUGUCCGAUACUCCCAAGGUGUUGCGACUAUGGAUACUAAAGUGAUCAAAGUACUGAUCGUUGGACAACAGUGAAAGAUGUCAUUGAGUACUAGAGUAAGUACUGAUGAUAUGUUUUCUCGCAAGCGGAGAUCAUGAAGAGUUCGUUGUAAAAUGUUACAUCGAAACAGUCUUGAUCUUUUCUCUAUGUAAUUUUCGAUUCAAAUUGAGGGUUUUGUGUAACACAAUAUGGUGGUGCAGUUAGUUGGAAAUUGUUCCAAAAAAGUUACUGUGGCGAAUUCUAUAACAGAGGCGGAGUAUGUUGCUGCUUUAGAAGCAAAAAAUACAAAGAUGUUGAAUCAUAUAGUUCAUUCAUGAACUUAGUAUGGUUCCAAGAAAUCUUUGGUCAAUGGGACACUAUUGCAGAUAGUUGAUCCAUAACUCAGUCUGAGGAAUCAGGUUUCGACCAAUGAUUCACAUAUAUAAAAAGCCAAGUCCGCACAAAGUAUGAAUUUUGUGAAAGCACGAAAACAUGAGGAUAUGCAGAGAUACACAUGGAGCUGAAGUUGUCAGAUCCGAUGGACAUCAGGCUAUACCACAUGCGAAGCAUUUUUUACACCGGUAUGCCAUAGGUGUAAAGUGCAUUAGCAUUAACUAGAUUAUUGACUCUAGUGCAAGUGGGAGUCUAUAGGAGAUAUGCCCUAGAGGCAAUAAUAAAUGAUAUUAUUUAUCUCCGAAUUCAUAAUUAUGUUUAUGUUCCAUGCUAUAACUGCAAUGAUUCUCAAGUCUGCAAUAUCCACGAGGCUCGGAGGAAGACUCAUAUGCACGUGUGGAAUAAUGAACGGUAAGAAGUAUUCCUAGUCUGGCCUCUAAGACUAGCUCAAGUGUUGCAUGAUGGUUCUGUUUUCCUGAUCAUGGGCAUGUCUAUGCCAGCAAUUUUGAGGGCACAAUGUGAAGAGAACAUUUGUGUUGAAUCGACUUGGAUUGAUGUUAUGCUAUGAGAUUCAUUCGUCACAAGUUAAUGGUACAUAACACAGAGAUGGUUAAUGUUUGCAUGAUUCCUUAGACCAUGAGAGUAUUGAGUUUCUUCAUGCUUGCUUCAUGAACUUUGGGGUUUAUUAAACGUCAUCCGUAAAUGGGUGGCUAUUAUGGCGGCUUACGGGUUCAUGGAAAAGUAUGGCAAGUAACUUGAUAGCUCAAGAUUGGGAUUUGCUCCUCCAACGAUGGAGAGAUAUUCUCGGGCCCUCUCGGUGUUACGGUAUCCAUAAUCGUCUGGCCAGACACCUUGUGAUUUGAUCACUGGGAUGCCGGAACACGAAAACGAGAAAAGAGAACAAAACCAGUAACGAGGUAACUUGCAUGGUGGAAAAAUUGUUCGUCCACGGGGAUGCACAAAAUCUCACCUCGGGUGUUUGUGACAUAUCGCAAAGCAACAGGAAUAGCUCACUACAACUAGAGGUUCACUCGAAUAUUCAUUCGUGUGGGUAUAGGGGUCAAUAUGGGUGUCCACGGCUCCGAUGUUGAUCAUUGAUCGGAAGGGGUUCCGGGUCAUGUUUAUACUGAAGGAAAUAUGCCCUAGAGGCAUUAAUAAAGUUAUUAUUUAUUUCCUUAUAUCAUGAUAAAUGUUUAUUAUUCAUGCUAGAAUUGUAUUAACCGGAAACAUAAUACAUGUGUGAAUACAUAGACAAACUUAGUGUCACUAGUAUGCCUCUACUUGACUAGCUCGUUAAUCAAAGAUGGUUAUGUUUCCUAACCAUGAACAAAGUGUUGUUAUUUGAUUAACAAGGUCACAUCAUUAGUUGAAUGAUCUGAUUGACAUGACCCAUUCCAUUAGCUUAGCACCCGAUCGUUUAGUAUGUUGCUAUUGCUUUCUUCAUGACUUAUACAUGUUCCUAUGACUAUGAGAUUAUGCAACUCCCGUUUGCCGGAGGAACACUUUGUGUGCUACCAAACGUCACAACGUAACUGGGUGAUUAUAAAGGAGCUCUACAGGUGUCUCCAAUGGUAGAUGUUGGGUUGGCGUAUUUCGAGAAUAGGAUUUGUCACUCCGAUUGUCGGAGAGGUAUCUCUGGGCCCUCUCAGGUAAUGCACAUCACAUAAGCCUUGCAAGCAUUGCAGCUAAUGGGUUAGUUGCGGGAUGAUGUAUUACGGAACGAGUAAAGAGACUUGCCGGUAACGAGAUUGAACUAGGUAUUGGAUACCGACGAUCGAAUCUCGGGCAAGUAACAUACCGAUGACAAAGGGAACAACGUAUGUUGUUAUGCGGUCUGACCGAUAAAGAUCUUCGUAGAAUAUGUAGGAGCCAAUAUGGGCAUCCAGGUCCCGCUAUUGGUUAUUGACCGGAGACGUGUCUCGGUCAUGUCUACAUUGUUCUUGAACCGUAGGGUCCGCAUGCUUAACGCUACGAUGACAGUUAUUAUGAGUUUAUGCAUUUUGAUGUACCGAAGAUUGUUCAGAGUCCCGGAUGUGAUCAUGGACAUGACGAGGAGUCUCGAAAUGGUCGAGACAUAAAUAUUGAUAUAUUGGAAGCCUAUGUUUGGAUAUCGGAAGUGUUCCGGGUGAAAUCGGGAUUUUACCGGAGUACCGGGAGGUUACCGGAACCCCCUGGGAGCUAUAUGGGCCUUAGUGGGCUUCAGUGGAAAGGAGAAAGGGGCAGCCCAAGGUGGGCCGCGCGCCUCCCCCCUCCCCUAGUCCUAUUAGGACAAGGAGAGGUGGCCGGCCCCCUCUCUCUCUUUCCCCCCUCGAGGAAUCCUAUUCCAACUAGGAUUGGGGGGGGGAAUCCUACUCCCAAAGGGAGUAGGACUCCCUUGGCGCGCCCUCCUUGGCCGGCCGCCCCCUCCCCCUUGGCUCCUUUAUAUACGGAGGCAGGGGGGCACCCUAAGAGACACAAGUUGAUCCUCGUGAUCGUUCCUUAGCCGUGUGCGGUGCCCCCUACCACUAUAUUCCACCUCGGUCAUACCGUUGUAGUGCUUAGGCGAAGUCCUGCGUCGGUAGAACAUCAUCAUCGUCAUCACGCCAUCGUGCUGACGGAACUCAUCCCCGAAGCUUUGCUGGAUCGGAGCCCGGGGAGCGUCAUCGAGCUGUACGUGUGCUAAGAACUCGGAGGUGCCGGAGUAACAGUGCUUGGAUCGGUCGGAUCGGGAAGACGUACGACUACUUCCUCUACGUUGUGUCAACGCUUCCGCAGUCGGUCUGCGUGGGUACGUAGACAACACUCUCCCCCUUGUUGCUAUGCAUCACCAUGAUCUUGCGUGUGCGUAGGAAAUUUUUUGAAAUUACUACGUUCCCCAACAGUGGUAUCCGAGCCUGGUUUUAUGGUUUGAUGUUAUUUGCACGAGUAGAACUCAAGUGAGUUGUGGGCGAUAUAAGUCAUACUACCUACCAGCAUGUCAUACUUUGGUUCGGCAGUAUUGUUGGACGAGACAACCCGGACCGACAUUACGCGUACGCUCACGCGAGACCGGUUCUCCCGACGUGCUUUGCACAUAGGUGGCUUGCGGGCGACAGUCUCUCCAACUUUAGUUGAACCGAGUAUGGCUACGCCCGGUCCUUGCGAAGGUUAAAACGGAGUCAAAUUGACAAACUAUCGUUGUGGUUUUGAUGCGUAGGUGAGAUUGGUUCUUGCUUAAGCCCGUAGCAGCCACGUAAAAUUUGCAACAACAAAGUAGAGGACGUCUAACUUGUUUUUGCAGGGCAUGUUGUGAUGUGAUAUGGUUAAGGCAUGAUGAUGAAUUUUAUUGUAUGAGAUGAUCAUGUUUUGUAACCGAGUUAUUGGCAACUGGCAGGAGCCAUAUGGUUGUCGCUUUAUUGUAUGUAAUGCAAUCGCGAUGUAAUGCUUUACUUUAUCACUAAGCGGUAGCGAUAGUCGUGGAAGCAUAAGAUUGGCGAGACGACAACGAUGCUACGAUGGAGAUCAAGGUGUCGCGCCGGUGACGAUGGUGAUCAUGACGGUGCUUCAGAGAUGGAGAUCACAAGCACAAGAUGAUGAUGGCCAUAUCAUAUCACUUAUAUUGAUUGCAUGUGAUGUUUAUCUUUUUAUGCAUCUUAUCUUGCUUUGAUUGACGGUAGCAUUAUAAGAUGAUCUCUCACUAAAUUAUCAAGAAGUGUUCUCCCUAAGUAUGCACCGUUGCCAAAGUUCGUCGUGCCCAGACACCACGUGAUGAUCGGGUGUGAUAAGCUCUACGUCCAUCUACAACGGGUGCAAGCCAGUUUUUGCACACGCAGAAUACUCAGGUUAAACUUGACGAGCCUAGCAUAUGCAGAUAUGGCCUCGGAACACGGAGGCGAAAGGUUGAGCGUGAAUCAUAUAGUAGAUAUGAUCAACAUAACGAUGUUCACCAUUGAAAACUACUCCAUCUCACGUGAUGAUCGGUUAUGGUUUAGUUGAUUUGGAUCACGUGAUCACUUAGAGGAUUAGAGGGAUGUCUAUCUAAGUGGGAGUUCUUAAGUAAUUUGAUUAAUUGAACUUAAACUUAUCAUGAACUUAGUACCUGAUAGUAUCUUGCUUGUUUAUGUUGAUUGUAGAUAGAUGGCUCGUGCUGUUGUUCCGUUGAAUUUUAAUGUGUUCCUUGAGAAAGCAAAGUUGAAAGAUGAUGGUAGCAAUUACACGGACUGGGUCCGUAACUUGAGGAUUAUCCUCAUUGCUGCUCAACAGAAUUAUGUCCUGGAAGCAACGCUGGGUGCCAGGCCUGCUGCUGGAGCAACACCAGAUGUUAUGAACGUCUGGCAGAGCAAAGCUGAUGACUACUCGAUAGUUCAGUGUGCCAUGCUUUACGGCUUAGAAUUGGGACUUCAAUGACGUUUUGAACGUCAUGGAGCAUAUGAGAUGUUCCAGGAGUUGAAGUUAAUAUUUCAAGCAAAUGUCCGGAUUGAGAGAUAUGAAGUCUCCAAUAAGUUCUAUAGCUGCAAGAUGGAGGAGAACAGUUCUGUCAGUGAGCAUAUACUCAAAAUGUCUUGGUAUAAUAAUCACUUGAUUCAGAUGGGAGUUAAUCUUCCAGAUGAUUGCGUCAUUGACAGAAUUCUCCAAUCACUGCCACCGAGCUACAAGAGCUUCGUGAUGAACUAUAAUAUGCAAGGGAUGAACAAGACUAUUCCCGAGCUCUUCGCAAUGCUGAAAGCUGUGGAGGUAGAAAUCAAGAAGGAGCAUCAAGUGUUGAUGGUUAACAAGACCACUAGUUUCAAGAAAAAGGGCAAAGGGAAGAAGAAGGGGAACUUCAAGAAGAACGGCAAGCAAGUUGCUGCUCAGGAGAAGAAACCCAAGUCUGGACCUAAGCCUAAAACUGAGUGCUUCUGCUGCAAGCAGACUGGUCACUGGAAGCGGAACUGCCCCAAGUAUUUGGCGGAUAAGAAGGAUGGCAAGGUGAACAAAGGUAUAUAUGAUAUACAUGUUAUUGAUGUGUACCUUACUAGAGCUCGCAGUAGCACCUGGGUAUUUGAUACUGGUUCUGUUGCUAAUAUUUGCAACUCGAAACAGGGACUACGGAUUAAGCGAACACUGGCAAAGGACGAGGUGACGAUGCGCGUGGGAAACGGUUCCAAAGUCGAUGUGAUCGCGGUCGGCACGCUACCUCUACAUCUACCUUCGGGAUUAAUAUUAGACCUAAAUAAUUAUUAUUUGGUGCCAGCAUUGAGCAUGAACAUUAUAUCUGGAUCUUGUUUGAUGCGAGACGGUUAUUCAUUUAAAUCAGAGAAUAAUGGUUGUUCUAUUUAUAUAAGUAAUAUCUUUUAUGGUCAUGGACCUUUGAAGAGUGGUCUAUUUUUGGUGAAUCUCGAUAGUAGUAACACACAUAUUCAUAAUGUUGAAGCCAAAAGAUGCAGAGUUGAUAAUGAUAGUGCAACUUAUUUGUGGCACUGCCGUUUAGGUCAUAUCGGUAUAAAGCGCAUGAAGAAACUCCAUACUGAUGGACUUUUGGAAUCACUUGAUUAUGAAUCACUUGGUACUUGCGAACCGUGCCUCAUGGGCAAGAUGACUAAAACGCCGUUCUCCGGUACUAUCGAGAGAGCAACAGAUUUAUUGGAAAUCAUACAUACCGAUGUAUAUGGUCCGAUGAAUAUUGAGGCUCGUGGUGGAUAUCGUUAUUUUCUCACCUUCACAGAUGACUUAAGCAGAUAUGGGUAUAUCUACUUAAUAAAACACAAGUCUGAAACAUUUGAAAAGUUCAAAGAAUUUCAGAGUGAAGUUGAAAAUCAUCGUAACAAGAAAUUAAAGUUUCUACGAUCUGAUCGUGGAGGAGAAUAUUUGAGUUACGAGUUUGGUGUACAUUUGAAACAAUGCGGAAUAGUUUCGCAACUCACGCCACCCGGAACACCACAGCGUAAUGGUGUGGACGAACAUCGUAAUCGUACUUUACUAGAUAUGGUGCGAUCUAUGAUGUCUCCUACUGAUUUACCGCUAUCGUUUUGGGGUUAUGCUUUAGAGACGGCCGCAUUCACGUUAAAUAGGGCACCAUCAAAAUCCGUUGAGAUGACGCCUUAUGAACUAUGGUUUGGCAAGAAACCAAAGUUGUCGUUUCUUAAAGUUUGGGGCUGCGAUGCUUAUGUGAAAAAGCUUCAACCUGAUAAGCUCGAGCCCAAAUCGGAGAAAUGUGUCUUCAUAGGAUACCCAAAGGAGACUGUUGGGUACACCUUCUAUCACAGAUCCGAAGGCAAGACAUUCGUUGCUAAGAAUGGAUCCUUUCUAGAGAAGGAGUUUCUCUCGAAAGAAGUGAGUGGGAGGAAAGUAGAACUUGACGAGGUAACUGUACCUGCUCCCUUAUUGGAAAUUAGUACAUCACAGAAAACUGUUUCUGCGACACCUAUACCAAUUAGUGAGGAAGCUAAUGAUGAUGAUCAUCAAACUUCAGGACAAGAUACUACUGAACCUCGUAGAUCAACCAGAGCGAGAUCCGCACCAGAGUGGUACGGUAAUCCUGUUCUGGAAAUCAUGCUGCUAGAUCAUGAUGAACCUACGAACUAUGAAGAAGCGAUGGUGAGCCCAGAUUCCGCGAAAUGGCUUGAAGCCAUGAAAUCUGAGAUGGGAUCCAUGUAUGAGAACAAAGUAUGGACUUUGGUUGACUUGCCCGAUGAUCGGCGAGCAAUUGAGAAUAAAUGGAUCUUCAAGAAGAAGACUGACGCUGAUGGUAAUGUUACUGUCUACAAAGCUCAACUUGUCGCAAAAGGUUUUCGACAAGUUCAAGGGGUUGACUACGAUGAGACUUUCUCACCUGUAGCGAUGCUUAAGUCUGUCCGAAUCAUAUUAGCGAUUGCCGCAUUUUAUGAUUAUGAAAUUUGGCAGAUGGAUGUCAAAACUGCAUUCCUGAAUGGAUUUCUGGAAGAAGAGUUGUAUAUGAUGCAACCGGAAGGUUUUGUCGAUCCAAAGGGAGCUAACAAAGUAUGCAAGCUCCAGCGAUCCAUUUAUGGACUGGUGCAAGCCUCUCGGAGUUGGAAUAAACGCUUUGAUAGUGUGAUCAAAGCAUUUGGUUUUAUACAGACUUUUGGAGAAGGCUGUAUUUACAAGAAAGUGAGUGGAAGCUCUGUAGCAUUUCUGAUAUUAUAUGUGGAUGACAUAUUACUGAUUGGAAAUGAUAUAGAAUUUCUGGAUAGCAUAAAGGGAUACUUGAAUAAGAGUUUUUCAAUGAAAGUCCUCGGUGAAGCUGCUUACAUAUUAGGCAUAAAGAUCUAUAGAGAUAGAUCAAGGCGCUUAAUUGGACUUUGAAGAAGUUCAAAAUGGAUCAAGCAAAAAAAGGGUUCUUGCCUGUGUUAUAAGGUGUGAAGUUGAGUCAGACUCAAUGCCCGACCACUGCAGAAGAUAGAGAGAAAAUGAAAGAUGUUCCCUAUGCUUCAGCAAUAGGCUCUAUCAUGUAUGCAAUGCUGUGUACCAGACCUGAUGUGUGCCUUGCUAUAAGCUUAUUAGGGAGGUACCAAAGUAAUCCAGGAGUGGAUCACUGGACAGCGGUCAAGAACAUCCUGAAAUACCUGAAAAGGACUAAGGAUAUGUUUCUCAUAUAUGGAGGUGACAAAGAGCUCACCGUAAGAGGUUACGUUGAUGCAAGCUUUGACACUGAUCCAGACGAUUCUAAAUCACAAACCGGAUACGUGUUUACAUUAAACGGUGGAGCUGUAAGUUGGUGCAGUUCUAAACAAAGCGUCGUAGCGGGAUCUACAUGUGAAGCGGAGUACAUAGCUGCUUCGGAAGCAGUGAACGAAGGAGUCUGGAUGAAGGAGUUCAUAUCCGAUCUAGGUGUCAUACCUAGUGCGUCGGGUCCAAUGAAAAUCUUUUGUGACAAUACUGGUGCAAUUGCCUUGGCAAAGGAAUCCAGAUUUCACAAGAGGACCAAGCACAUCAAGAGACGCUUCAAUUCCAUCCGGGAUCUAGUGCAGGUGGGAGACAUAUAGAUUUGCAAGAUACAUACGGAUCUCAAUGUUGCAGACCCGUUGACUAAGCCUCUUCCACGAGCAAAACAUGAUCAGCACCAAGGCUCCAUGGGUGUUAGAAUCAUUACUGUGUAAUCUAGAUUAUUGACUCUAGUGCAAGUGGGAGACUGAAGGAAAUAUGCCCUAGAGGCAAUAAUAAAGUUAUUAUUUAUUUCCUUAUAUCAUGAUAAAUGUUUAUUAUUCAUGCUAGAAUUGUAUUAACCGGAAACAUAAUACAUGUGUGAAUACAUAGACAAACUUAGUGUCACUAGUAUGCCUCUACUUGACUAGCUCGUUAAUCAAAGAUGGUUAUGUUUCCUAACCAUGAACAAAGUGUUGUUAUUUGAUUAACGAGGUGACAUCAUUAGUUGAAUGAUCUGAUUGACAUGACCCAUUCCAUUAGCUUAGCACCCGAUCGUUUAGUAUGUUGCUAUUGCUUUCUUCAUGACUUAUACAUGUUCCUAUGACUAUGAGAUUAUGCAACUCCCGUUUGCCGGAGGAACACUUUGUGUGCUACCAAACGUCACAACGUAACUGGGUGAUUAUAAAGGAGCUCUACAGGUGUCUCCAAUGGUAGAUGUUGGGUUGGCGUAUUUCAAGAAUAGGAUUUGUCACUCCGAUUGUCGGAGAGGUAUCUCUGGACCCUCUCAGGUAAUGCACAUCACAUAAGCCUUGCAAGCAUUGCAGCUAAUGAGUUAGUUGCGGGAUGAUGUAUUACGGAACGAGUAAAGAGACUUGCCGGUAACGAGAUUGAACUAGGUAUUGGAUACCGACGAUCGAAUCUCGGGCAAGUAACAUACCGAUGACAAAGGGAACAACGUAUGUUGUUAUGCGGUCUGACCGAUAAAGAUCUUCGUAGAAUAUGUAGGAGCAAAUAUGGGCAUCCAGGUCCCGCUAUUGGUUACUGACCGGAGACGUGUCUCGGUCAUGUCUACAUUGUUCUCGAACCGUAGGGUCCGCACGCUUAACGUUACAAUGACAGUUAUUAUGAGUUUAUGCAUUUUGAUGUACCGAAGAUUGUUCGGAGUCCCGGAUGUGAUCAUGGACAUGAAAAGGAGUCCCGAAAUGGUCGAGACAUAAAGAUUGAUAUAUUGGAAGCCUAUGUUUGGAUAUCGGAAGUGUUCCGGGUGAAAUCGGGAUUUUACUGGAGUACCGGGAGGUUACCGGAACCCCCCGGGAGCUAUAUGGGCCUUAGUGGGCUUUAGUGGAAAGGAGAAAGGGGCAACCCAAGGUGGGCCGCGCGCCUCCCCCCUCCCCUAGUCCUAUUAGGACAAGGAGAGGUGGCCGGCCCCCUCUCUCUCUCUUUCCCCCCUCGAGGAAUCCUAUUCCAACUAGGAUUGGGGGGGGGGUCCUACUCCCAAAGGGAGUAGGACUCCCUUGGCGCGCCCUCCUUGGCCGGCCGCCCCCUCCCCCUUGGCUCCUUUAUAUACGGAGGCAGGGGGGCACCCUAAGAGACACAAGUUGAUCCUCGUGAUCGUUCCUUAGCCGUGUGCGGUGCCCCCUGCCACCAUAUUCCACCUCGGUCAUACCGUUGUAGUGCUUAGGCGAAGCCCUGCGUCGGUAGAACAUCAUCAUCGUCAUCACGCCGUCGUGCUGACGGAACUCAUCCCCGAAGCUUUGCUGGAUCGAAGCCCGGGGAGCGUCAUCGAGCUGUAUGUGUGCUAAGAACUCGGAGGUGCCGGAGUAACGGUGCUUGGAUCGGUCGGAUCGGGAAGACGUACGACUACUUCCUCUAUGUUGUGUCAACGCUUCCGCAGUCGGUCUGCGUGGGUACGUAGACAACACUCUCCCCCUCGUUGCUAUGCAUCACCAUGAUCUUGCGAUGAGUUCUUUUUAGCUUCUAAUUUGUUUCCGCGGUCGGUCGUGCUGAAAUGAGUUCUUUUUAGCUUCUAGUUUGUUUCCACAAUAAGCUGCUAUAAGCCACAAAAGAAUUGGACCUAAGUAUUUGGAUCAGAUUCCUAAAUUUAUUUCUCACACAUGAAUUUGUCACAAAGUUACUUUCACGAUGAAUUUGUAGUGACAUAAAUUAGAAGUCAAAGUCGUGGUUCAAGGCCAUGCAUGCCAACACCUAAAAAACAAUUCUACGAAUUAGAAGAAGCUCUUUUCAUUGUUGGAUGUAUCUGAGUGGAAAUGCUCCACAUAUAUCCGUAGCAACAUUAGGUACAUGUAUAAUAGUUACACUAGCAUAUUGCAUGGGUUGUUUUAAUCGACACAUGUUUCUUGGUAGGGGGCGGAAAAACUGUUUUCCGGUAAAUCUCGUAAGCUCUGGGGUUUUUUUAUCCAAAAUUAUUCAAAAGAAUUUCGAAUUUUAAUUUUAAUUGUGUGACAAUAUUGUGUCAUCAGGACUGUAAAACCAUACUUCAUGACUUUGGAAUGGUGUCUGGAUUAAGGCUGAACAUGGUAAAAUCUGUGGCCAUGCCCAUCAGGUGUUCGGAUGAACAUGUGCUUCAAAUUGGAAACAUCUUGUGAUGCUCAGUUGGGCCAUUCUCCUGCAAAUAUCUAGGCUUUCCUCUGAGUAUUAGGUAGCUUUCGGCCACCCAGAUCUAGUACUCGGUUGAUCAACUAACAAAUAAGAGCAUCUCAUAUCGUUGUUAUAUGGCACGAAAAACACCUUGGAGUAAAACUUAAGACACCAAAAAAUAUUUUUUAGGGCUACAAAAGAAUUGCUCAUCUCCGACAGCAGCCCUAAAAUAAAGCAACAAAUUCAGGCCUUCCGGCAAUGUGCGUUUAGUGGGAGGACACGCUCAUGUCGACUACAAAAGCGUCCGUAACGACUUCGUCAAUUUGAAAAUGAUGUGCAGGCAUAGUCUUUCGGAGGUGUUCAUAGGGGUAGGAUGUCCGUAUGUGCGUUUACAGGGAUAAGUGUAUGUGCUAUGUAUGAGCGUUUACGUCUGCAGUGUGUUCAAAAGAAAUUAACAACAUAUUUGUGUUGAAAAAAGAGAAUAACAACAUAAUUUGCAUCGCCCAGAGGCUCGUAUGGUAAGUUGGUCCCAUGUGUCGGUGAGACAUGAGCAUACAUCAGCUCAAAACAAGGAACGUGUAGUAAUGAACUGCCUUCCUCAAAAGGAAGUGUCAUCUGUUGGAAUUUUGCUAGUAGGCCUUUGGCCCAAAGCCCAAUUAAAAUUCUGAAAUUCUCUUGGCCCAUUCAUGCAUACACGUGAGUGGAGUGAGUGAGGCUAAAGUUUAGUCCCAUCCCGAAAGUUGAGAGAGAGUUGCACCUCUUUAUAAGGUGAGUUCUUCUAUCACUUGUAUGAGCAUGAGAAGAGGAGACCUACACGCGCUCCUCCUCCUCGCGCGCCGCGCCGCGCCGCGCCGCGUUAAUUACUGAACCGUUUCCGAUUCUUUUGGAUCGUGACGACUCGGACGUGGGUUUUACUCCCACGACCUACCCGGCCCGCACUAUAUAGUCAGGCAGACGUCUACCCUAGCCACCGCCGCUUCGUAUGGUUUCUCACCACCGUUCCAGAUCAUUGCGCCGCCAAGCAAGUCUUCUCCAUCCCUCCUUCCGGCGUGCACCGUGAGAAGGGACAGCAGGCCUCCGGAACCCCGCCUCUCGUGAUCCUGUACGGGAGAGGGGCGAUCAGGUUUUUGGGGAGCGCACUCGCACGACUGCUGGCAGCGACUACUUCGCGAACGACGACUUCUUCCCCGACCUCUGCAACCUCGUCCUCGGCGACAUGGCCGACAACGUCAAUGUCGGCGGUGCUGCACCCGCUGCACCGUAUGUGAUUCUAUCCUUCCUAUUCGAGAUCGUGGUAGAAUUCAAGCUUCUAGUAUGUGCACUAGAUGUGAUAUGUUCAUCUGCUAUGCUAGUUCGCAUGAUUAGUUUAAUCUCUGUUGCUGUGAUCAUGAUUUAUCUUCUGUUUAUUCAGAUUAAAUCUCGUAGUAAUUUGCUCAUAUUUCCAACAAUCCAAAAACCUGAUUAUAGGCAAUUUACUCUGAGUGGUUUUGCUGCGCAUCUGAAGCCGCCUGCCUUUAAGGGGGCGCAAUAUAAGAGGUGGCGCACGAGAGCAGUCUACUAGUUUCAGACCAUGGGCUACUAUGAUGCCACCAAGGGCAAGCCUGAGGGCGAUCUUAAUCCAGCACAGCUGAAAGCUUUUGAGAAGAUCGAUACCCUCUUUAAAGGCGCUCUUCUGAGUGUUCUUGAUGACUCCAUUGUGGAUUCGUAUAUGUCGUUUCACAACGGCAAGGACAUGUGGGCUGCGCUCGAGGCCAAGUUUGGUGCGUCGGACGCCGGCAGCGAGUUGUACGUCAUGGAGCAAUUCUAAGAUGACUGAUGAGCGCCCUGUUGUACAGCAGGCUCAUGAGAUACAGUCGCUCGCAAAAGAACUUGAGUACUUCAAGUGUGUGUUGCCGGACAAAUUUGUUGCCGGAGGCAUCAUUGCCAAGCUUCCACCUUCGUGGAACAAUUUUGCUACUUCCCUGAAACACAAGAGACAGGAGUUUUCCGUUGCGGAUCUCAUUGGUACUCUUGAUGUUGAAGAGAAGGCGAGAGCAAAGGACACACGUGCUCAAGUUGCUGAGGGAGGUUCUAGUGCCCACAUGGUACAGAAUAAGAACUCCCAGCCCAACAAGUUCAAAAACAAUAAGAACAAAACUCAGGGCAAAGGCAAGUUUGAUACAAAGAACAAGCCAUCACAUUCUACCAACUUCAAGAAGAAUUCUCAUAAGAAGGGGAAGGGACUUUGCCAUGUCUGCGGUGAUCCUAAUCACUGGGCUCCGAAGUGUCCUAACCGCUUUGAGGAGCGCGAACAUGAGAAGAGCGGCAGGUCCGCUAAUGUUGUCAUCGGUGAUACUGAUAUGAAGGAAUCAGGGUACGGUUUUUUUCCUACCAUCCUUUCAGUAUUUCAAUCCCCUGAUUGGUUAAUUGACACCGGUGCCAAUGUACAUGUUUGUGCUGAUGCCUCCAUGUUUUCUUCUUACCAGGCAACAGGGACUUCACCCGUGAUGAUGGGGAACGGGUCACAUGCCAUCGUUCGAGGUGUUGGUACGGUCGAUCUAAAGUUUACUUCGGGGAAGACUAUGCGUCUGAAGAACGUUCAUCAUGUGUCGUCCAUCAAUAAAAAUCUCGUUAGCGGUUCCCAUUUAUGUCGAGAUGGUUUUAAGUUGGUUUUCGAAUCCAAUAAAGUUGUAAUUUCUAAGUGUGGAGAAUUUGUUGGAAAAGGCUAUGAGUGCGGAGGCUUGUUCCGCCUAUCUUUGUCAGAUAUUUGCACUAAAGUUAUUAAUAAUGUUUGCCACAAUAAUGAGUCUGAUAUUUGGCAUUCACGACUCUGUCAUAUUAACUUUGGUUGCAUGAUGCGGUUAGCCAAUAUGAAUUUAAUUCCGAAAAUCUCUACUGUCAAAGGCUCCAAGUGCCAAGUAUGUGUGCAAGCUAAGCAACCUCGCAAGUCCCAUAAGACUGCAGAGGCAAGAGACUUGGCGCCACUAGAGCUUAUACAUUCUGAUCUUUGUGAGAUGAAUGGCGUGUUGACAAAAGGUGGAAAGAGAUACUUCAUGACGUUGAUUGAUGACUCCACUAGAUAUUGUUAUGUGUAUCUUCUAAAAUCAAAAGAUGAGGCUUUGACUUUCUUUAAAAACUAUAAAGCUGAGGCAGAGAACCAACUUGAUCGAAAAAUUAAACGGCUUAGGUCCGAUCGUGGUGGAGAGUAUUUUUCCAAUGAAUUUGAUCUGUUUUGUGCAGAACAUGGUAUAAUACAUGAGAGGACGCCUCCCUACUCACCCCAGUCAAAUGGGGUAGCCGAAAGAAAGAACUGAACUCUAACUGAUAUGGUUAACACCAUGUUAGACACUUCGGGUCUAUCCAAGCAAUGGUGGGGGGAGGCGCUAAUGACUGCGUGUCAUGUCCUAAACUGAGUUCCCAUAAAGCAUAAGACCAUGACUCCAUUUGAGGAAUGGGAAAGGAAAAGGUUGAAACUCUUUUACCUACGUACUUGGGGUUGUUUGGCGAAAGUCAAUAUACCAAUUCCCAAGAAGCGCAAGCUUGGACCAAAAACCGUGGAUUGUGUUCUUCUGGGCUAUGCUUUUCAUAGCAUCGGCUAUAGAUUUUUUAUAAUAAAAUCGGAGGUAUCCGACAUGCAUGUUGGUACGAUUAUGGAAUCAAAUGAUGCAACUUUCUUUGAGGACAUAUUUCCUAUGAAGGAUAUGUCGAGUUCAUCAAAUCAGGAGAUACCUACUCCAUCUAGUGAGGAAUUCACUGUAAUUCCUGAACCCGCCAUUGCGAUGGAACAUGUUGAGAAUCCUGUUGAGGGUAACAAUGGAACUCCUGUGAGGAGUAAGAGACAGAGGACUGCAAAGUCUUUUGGUGAUGAUUUCAUUGUGUACCUCGUGGAUGACACACCCAGGACUAUUUCAGAAGCCUAUGCAUCUCCUGAUGCUGACUACUGGAAGGAAGUUGUACAUAGCGAGAUGGAUUCCAUCUUAGCUAACGGUACCUGGGAGAUCACUGACCGUCCUUAUGGGUGCAAACUUGUAGGAUGUAAGUGGGUGGUCAAGAAGAAGCUUAGACCUGAUGGUACGAUUGAAAAGUACAAGGCACGGCUUGUGGCCAAGGGUUAUACCCAGAAAGAAGGUGAAGACUUCUUUGAUACUUACUCACCCGUGGCUAGAAUGACCACCAUUCGGGUGCUACUAUCACUGGCUGCCUCACAUGGUCUUCUCGUUCAUCAAAUGGACGUUAAGACGGCUUUCCUCAAUGGAGAGUUGAAGGAGGAAAUUUACAUGGAUCAGCCAGAUGGUUUUGUAGUACCUGGUCAGGAAGGAAAGGUGUGCAAGUUAUUAAAGUCUUUAUAUGGCCUUAAACAAGCUCCUAAGGAGUGGCAUGAGAAGUUCGAAAGAACAUUAACUGCUGCCGGCUUUGUAGUAAACGAUGGUGACAAGUGCGUGUACUAUCGCUAUGGUGGGGGCGAAGGAGUUAUUCUUUGUCUGUAUGUUGACGGCAUAUUGAUCUUUGGAACCAAACUUGAUUUAAUCAAGAAGGUUAAGGAUUUCUUAUCUCGCUAUUUUGAGAUGAAGGAUCUAGGAGUAGCUGAUGUUAUCUUAAACAUCAAGCUGUUGAGAGAUGAGAAUGGUGAGAUCACACUGCUUCAGUCUCAUUAUGUGGAAAAGGUCUUGAGUCGUUUUGGGUAUAGCGACUGCACGCCUUCUCCAACUCAAUAUGAUGCUAGUGUGUUGCUUCGAAAGAAUCGACGGAUUGCUAGAGAUCAACUGAGGUAUUCUCACAUUAUUGGCUCGCUUAUGUAUUUGGCGAGUGCCACGAGGCCUGACAUCUCUUUUGUUGUGAGCAAGCUGAGUCGGUUUGUGUCAAAACCGGGAGAUGAUCAUUGGCAUGCGCUUGAGAGAGUUAUGCGCUAUUUGAAAGGCACUGCGAGCUAUGGGAUUCACUACACCGGGUAUCCAAGGGUACUAGAGGGUUAUAGUGACUCAAACUGGAUAUCUGAUGCUGAUGAGAUUAAGGCCACAAGUGGUUAUGUUUUUACACUUGGUGGUGGCGCUGUUUCCUGAAAGUCUUGCAAGCAGACCAUCUUAACGAGGUCAACUAUGGAAGCAGAACUCACAGCAUUAGACACUGCCACUGUUGAAGCAGAGUGGCUUCAUGAACUCUUGAUGGACUUAUCUAUGGUUGAAAAACCAAUACCCCCUAUCCCGAUGAACUGUGAUAAUCAAACUGUGAUCGUCAAGAUAAACAGUUCUAAGGACAAUAUGAAGUCCUCAAGGCAUGUGAAGAGGAGACUAAAAUCUGUCAGAAAAUUGAGGAAUUCCGGAGUUAUUACGUUGGAUUAUAUCCAAACGUCGAAAAACUUGGCAGAUCCCUUCACAAAGGGUCUAUCACGUAAUGUGAUAGAUAAUGCAUCGAUGGAGAUGGGUUUGAGACCCACCGCAUGAGUUGUCCAUAGUGAUAACCCACUCUAUGUGAUCGGAGAUCCCGUGAAGUAGAAGUGGGAGACAAGCUGUUGGUCAGUUGGGAGGAGAGUAUCCCUAUAUUAAUUAUCCCACUUCGUGAAGAUGCAAUACUCUCCUGAUCUUCAUGGCAGGUUGAUACUUAUCUUAAUGUGUUCCAAGUGGCUUAUUCGGGUAAGCAGAGAUGUUGUCCUGCAGAAUAUCUUCUGAGGAACACACCUAUAUGAAUUUGACUGUUAACGUCGCAGUCUGUGAGAAUUGGCUGUUCUCUAAUAAAUUUAUGAAAGGCCCUGGAGUAUGACGUAUAUGCUCCACCCGCGGGGAAGCCUUGCGGCAGCCCAGUAUCGGUCAAGAAUUUGUGUGAAACCAGUUUCACAGAAAACUUGUAGUUCAAGGCAUAGUCCACUAUUCAAGUUGUGAUCUAGUGUAGCAUAAAUUUCUAAGUGGAAGUUCAACUUCACAGUCUCCACUAAGCACCGAUAUAUAAAACAAUGUUUUGGAACUAAAUGAUGAGAUGUGCCAAUAAGACUUUCUGGGGGAUUGUUGGAAUUUUGCUAGUAGGCCUUUGGUCCAAAGCCCAAAUAAAAUUCUGAAAUUCUCUUGGCCCAUUCAUGCAUACAUGUGAGCGAAGUGAGUGAGGCUAAAGUUUAGUCCCACCCCGGAAGUUGAGAGAGAGUUGCACCUCUUUAUAAGGUGAGCUCUUCUACCACUUGUAUGAGCAUGAGAAGAGGAGACCUACACGCGCGCUCCUCCUCCUCGCUCGCCUCGUCGCGCCGCGCCGCGGGUUGCGGGAUUGAGCCGAGCCGAGGACAGAGCUAUGCACGUUGUCUAUAUUUUUGCUGCAUGGGAAAAUUAAUGAGUCAUUGAUUAGUAAUUAACGGACGCGUUAAUUACUGAACCGUUUCCGAUUCUUUUGGAUCGUGACGACUCGGACGUGGGGUUUACUCCCACGACCUAUCCGGCCCGCACUAUAUAGUCAGGCAGACGUCUACCCUAGCCGCCGCCGCUUCGUAUGGUUUCUCACCACUGUUCCAAAUCAUUGCGCCGCCAAGCAAGUCUUCUCCAUCCCUCCUUCCGGCGUGCACCGCGAGAAGGGACAGCAGGCCUCCGGAACCCCGCCUCUCGUGAUCCUGUACGGGAGAGGGGCGAUCAGGUUUUUGGGGAGCGCACUCGCGCGACUGCUGGCAGCGACGACUUCGCGAAUGACGACUUCUUCCCCGACCUCGGCAACCUCGUCCUCGACGACAUGGACGACAACGUCAACGCCGGCGGUGCUGCACCCGCUGCACCGUAUGUGAUUCUAUCCUUCCUGUUCGAGAUCGUGGUAGAAUUCAUACUUCUAGUAUGUGCCCGAGAUGUGAUAUGUUCAUCUGCUAUGCUAGUUCGCAUGAUUAGUUUAAUCUUUGCUGUUGUGGUCAUGAUUUAUCUUCUGUUUAUUUGGAUUAAAUCUCGUAGUAAUUUGCUCAUAUUUCCAACAUCAUCUUCCUCUGUCUUUGCCCGAAGAAGCUAGCUAGAGAGUCCGUUUCGCUGCUACCUCUGCCACACAUGUGAACUGACAUUGAAUUUUCUUAAUUAGCUACUCCUUCCGUCCCAAAAUAUAGGAAUACUUUUCAAGCUAUGUUAGCUUGAAAAAUGUGGGACGGAGGGAAUAGUAAAUUCUAUGUAGAGGAAUGGAAGAAUAAGAAUAUACUAAAUUCAUGUACAAGUACAUACUUCAGAUAGCCUGGAAUUCAUGUACAAGUGUGUGCGUCGGUGACACGGUGUGCUGUUUUGAGCAAGCGAGAGAGAGAGAGCCGUGCGUGCUCGAUCGAUCUCUCCGUGCAGGUGCAGUCGUUGUGGCGAGGUGGAUCGGCCCAUCGAUCGAUCACUUGCCAGGGUUUAGGUGCAACGUCAAUUUACAAGGUGCUAGGCCAUGCGUGUGUGCGUGUGUGCUGGACUAGCUCGCUGCUGGUGCAACGUCAAUCUCCAGCAGAGAAACAAGAGAAUCGUCGCCCGCAUGAAUCAUCAUCAGUGACAGCAACUUCAUGUGAACUGUACUUGCUGGCUCGUUAAUUCCGCACCAACAUUUGUCUCGAUCGUAGGGCUGUGCCAAUGACCUAAUGUGCAUUGUGUGGCUAGUGUCUUUUUCUACCUGCCGUUGGGCAUCAAAACUCUCUCUGCUCCCGUGUUCGUUUCUGCCGUCUGUAGUCCAGUCACACUGUACGUAUCAAAGUAGUAUGAUGGAUGGAUCAACAGCUAAGCACGUUAGCAAGCAGCCGAUCAACAUUUAUUUCUCUCUCUAGGGCUGUAGGUGUGUAGUGGACUCCGAGUUGGUUGCAUCUUGCAUGUCGUUACAAAACAAAAGAUGGCAAGCUUGAUGGGAGUUGGGUUCUUCUAGCUACUCUUCUUUGUGUGUGUGUGUGUGUGUGGAUGUGGGAGAUCAGAUCGAUGCACAGCGGCCGUGCUCAAAGCCUAGCCAUAUGGUCUAGUGCUCUAGUACUUUGAGGCGGUUACAGAACGUCGGGAGCACCUUUCAGACGUGGCAUGCUACUAGAAAGCACUGUUAGAGCGACCGGUGCAGCCAACUUCACGGAGCUCAGGGCCUCGUCGAACGGUCACCGGACAGGCACGUCGCGGAGGGCCCCUACGUGCGUAGCGGACUACACAGAGAAAUGUAGGGAAGCAGCGCAUAUAUAUACGCUACAGUAGAAAGUAUUGUACGCUAGUCUAGAGCCAGUGCGUACGUAGAGACAAGUUCCCAACCACCGCUCCACGGAACAUACAUAUCGAAGCGAAUCGGCGUUUUGCAUGGCAUGGCAUGCAUCGAACUGAUAACGACAUGAGUUCAGAUCAGAUGAUAUGUACGUGGCCGGAAUAGUACUUCAUCCGUCCGAAAAUAUUUGUCAUUAAAAUAAAUAAAAAGAGAUGUAUUUUAAUUUUAGAUAUACCUUUUUUUCUUUAUUUUGAUGACAAGUAUUUUUGGGCGGAGGAAGUACUAUACACAGGUGCGGUCAGACGGGAGACCAUUGCGUUCAAAAACCGAUAGGUAAUAUUCUAAAGUAGUUUUAUGGAAAAUGUGUUGAACCCACAGAUAUGUACAACGGUUGAUAGAAAAGUUUUAUCUUAAACCCGUCAAGUAAUUUUGUGUACAAUAGUUGAUAUUUUAGUUCUCUUUUUUUGAAAAGGUCUUAUCUCUGUUAACUAGGUAACCCUAAAUAUGGGAUGAAAGAUGUUGCUAAGGGCAUCUCCAAGCUGACCCACAAAUUUGCUCCGGCAUCUGUCUACGGACCGGAGCGGACCAGUCCACGGAUACUGAUGCGUGAUGCCAGAGGCCGCCAUACAAUGUUCCCUGCAUACAUUUCAACCACAUUUUGAAUUAAUCGGACGAAAUUCAUGAAAGCACGGAAAAUUUCAUUCAUGUUCGGCAAUUAUUUAGAUAAAAAGGUUGAUAUUUCGACCGUUUAACAGAAAAAUUAGAUAUAAAAAACCUGAACUGUAUACCUUAGGACCAUCUCAUAUGCGUGACCGCCCUGCCCUGUCGCACCGCUGCUGCCAUCCGUGCUGUCGUCGCCGUCGUCAUGGUGGUCCCUCCAUCAGCGGAACGGCACCGGAGGGCCGCAGCAGCCUUGUGCGGCGGCUAUCUAUCGCUCGCAGAGGAGCCGCUCCGCCUCCCGUUGCGUGGAGGGCCACUGCGACCACUGCCGACAUAGCCUUCGAAGCCCUAGCGACGGCCUUGCCGCGACAGGCAUUGGCGGGGCAGUCGCAAAGCGACCACUUCUUGUCGAUCUUCGCGAACUCACUGUUAAGGCGGCGGCGGCGCCUGGUGGCCGUCCCCGCGGUGGUGACGGAGCAGUCCCGCUUGCUCCGACACGUCCGCGUCCCGGUGCGAUCUUCCCGCCGGUGUUGAGCUGCUCCUUCGCCCGCUGGUGCUCCUGGAGGAACUGGACGUUGUAGGUGGCGUCGGCUUGCGCCUCCUGGAACUGAUCCUCCCGUACCAUGUCCAUGUAAUGGGCAUGGGACUCGCCGAUGGUCACGGUGGAAUGCACCGGCGAGGGUGGCACUGGCUUGUCUUUGGCCACGUUCUCCUUUGGGACGUCGUCGGCCUGUCAGCCGACAGCAAUGGCAGCCAGCCCCUUCUUCUGCUCCGGCGACAGUCCGUCCCAGAGAGUUUUGGAGCACAAGGAGGCCAUGAUGGGAGUGGUGUGGAAGAGGAUGAAUGCGGCUAUGGCCGAGACUGCAGUUUAUAUAGUGGGCGAAUGACAAUGGUUGACGAUAGAGGGAUGGGCGGGUGGUAUCGAUGUAAAUUCCUCGGCAACCGCAUGUCAGUAAUGUGGGUGGCAGACGGGCGGACAGAUGGCCAUGGUGUCAUUUGAACGCGGAGCAGUCGCAUGCGCCACGAAGCGGCGCGGGCGGUGCUCUCUCAGGUGGCGCGCCGCUUCAAUGCCGACGCCAAUGAGAGGUCGCGUCCUCUCUCGCUGGGCAUGAAUGAGGCACUGACGUUCUAGAGCAGCGCUAACAGUUUAGGGCGGGAAGCGCACGUGGGCGAGGAAGGGGUUUGGAUGGGCCAGGACGGUCAGAUGCGGGCGUGACAGCGGUUCAGACGCAAUGCCCCCUAGUUUGUCUUCAGUUUACGGGAGAAAUAGCAUCCGGACCACUCGGCGAACGGAUACAGGCCCGCGUUGUAUGACAUAAUACGUCCGGACCAUGCGGUCCGGAAAUAUGCGUGCGGUUUGAGGGUUGGCGUUGGAGAUGUUCUAAAAAAUCAUCUCUUAAUUAAAAGAGGCAAACUUUUCUUAUGAUUUCUCUCUCCUCCAUCUGAAUAUUUGUCUAUCGUGUAGUAUAAUUCACUGUGCUCCUUAAUUUUAGAGCCUCCCAUGCACGCGAGUGCCGGAAUAACUCGCUGCUGGUGCAACGUCCAUCUCCAGCAGAGAAAGAAGAGAAUCAUCGUCCGCAUGAAUCAUGAUCACUGACAGGAACUGCAUGUGAACUGUACUUGCUGGCUCGUUAAUUCCGCGUCAAUCUCCUACCAACAUUUGUCGCGUAGGGCUGUGCUAACUAAUGACCUAAUGUGCAUUGUGUAGGUAGUGUCUUCUUCUAUGUGCCGUUGGGCAUCAAAACUCUCUCUGCUCCCGUGUUCGUUUCUGCCGUCUGCAGUCCAGUCACACUGUGAGUAUCAAAAUAGUAUGAUGGAUGGAUCAACAGCUAGCUAAGCCAGAUAGCUUCCGUUUCGUAAAAAGAACAGCAGCGGGGAGUUCGCGCGUGUAUGCAUGCACGCCUCGAUCACAUAUUUAUUUCUCUCUCUAUCCGAUAUCUCUUUCUCAUAUCAUCAACGCAUGAAAAGAAAGUGUGAGAAACUUCAGCAAGCUGCUCGUGAUCGAGUGUCCAUCAACAGAAAGCAGGUUUGUCACUUUGGUUACUGGCCACUCGAUCCAUCUGCAGGGCUGUAGGAGUGUAGUGGACUCCGUGUUGUCCAUCUUGCAUGUCGUUACAAAAGACUACAGCUAGCUUGAUGGGAAUUGGGUUCUUCUAGCUACUCUUCUUUGUGUGUGUGUGUGUGUGUAGAUCAUAUCGAUGCACGGCCAGCAUGGCCGUCUUUUAAAGCCUAGCCAUAUGGUCUAGUGCUCUAGUACUUUGGGGGCGGUUACAGAACUUCCAGAACAUCUUUCAUACGUGAAAUGCAACUAGAAAGCAUUGUUAGGGCGACCGAUGCAGCAACCUUCACGGAUCUUGGGGCUGCAUCGAACCGUCACCGGACAGCCACGUCGCGAAGGGCCCCUACGUGUGUAGUGGACGCCACAUAGAGAUGCGGGGAAGCGCAUAAGGGCAUGUACAACGCCGGUGCUUAGGCCGAGCGCUAGGAUCAAAUUCCUAGCCGUUAGGUGUGAUUCUCGGCCAAGUUAAGGAAAUUAGCUAGCGUCGAUGCCAGGAAAGUCCUCGGACACUCCGGCUUUUUCAUCGCAGGAUUAGCCAAUCUCUCUGUUCUUUUCUAACUGGCCUAGCGCCUGCUAGCGUUGUAGGAAUGGACUCUAAUGCGGGCGCUACAAAGAAAAAUAUUUUAUUUAAUUCUUGGUGGGCUGAGAAUUCCACUGUCCCUCUAACCAUACAAUCAUAGGUUAGUUCGCCAUCCACAUUGAUCUUGAUAGAUUUUGGUUUAGGUUUCUUCCAUUUAGGCUCGAUUGCAGUGUUACUUUGAAAAGAUGCCUUCUUAAAAUUAUUAGCAAUGGCCAGGACAGAAAACGUCCACCUAUCUGGUGGAGGGUGAGAUUCAUUAUGUUUAUUUCUCCGCCUAAUCCACCAUAGGUAACAGCUGUUAGAAGAUACUGUAUAGAGAUAGGAAAGCUGUUUAACUUUGUAUCUCUUUCUAUCUUUUCGUCUGUUUUAUCUCUUCCAACCUCCUGUAACAAUCCCGGUCGAUCUUCUCUCGAUCGGUACUUGUAAGCCACGGCAUACAGCAUAUAUAUAUAUAAACCGUGGCCCGAGCAAAGGGUUCAACGCUUCCAUCAACCUUUUACAUGGUAACAGAGCCUCUUCCUCGACAGAUUGGAUAGAGAUCGCAUCUAGCUACCAGGCGAUCGCAGCCAUGUCCACCACCUCCGCAUCCAUGACGCCCAGCACCAUGGGUGCGCUCACCACCUCAUCCUCCUCCACGUUUGCGUCAUCAUCCACCUCCAACCCCACCACCUCCUUCCUCGGAUCGCCGCCGCAAGAGAAGCUGACGAGGGGCAACUUCCUGCUCUGGAAGGCCAUCGUCCUACCACAGAUCAAGGGCGCGUAGAUGGAGCAUCAUCUCGACGCGAAGAGUCCGGCACCGCCGGCCACCCUCACCAUCACCAAGGACGGCAAAGAAGAACAGGUACUGAACUUUGCGAGAUCCCUCUGGUUUGCACAGCAGCAACAGCUCCAAGGCUACUUGAUGGGCUCCCUCUCCCGCGACAUUCUUGCCCAAGUCGCCACGCUGCAGACGUCGGCUGAAGUCUGGCGCGCCAUCCACGACAUGUUUGCUGCCCAGAGCCAAGCACAAGCUAUCAAUACCCGCAUCGAGCUUACGAAUCUUCAAAAAGGUAACAUGACUAUGGCCGAAUAUCUUGGAAAGAUUAAGAGCCUCACAGAUGAAGUUGCCUGCACCACUGCCGCGCUCUCCGAUCCGGAGAUCGUGUCCAAGAUCUUGGCCGGGCUGGACAUGGACUACAAUCCAGUAGUCUCGGCCCUUGCAGCUCGGGUGGAGCCGAUCACUGUCCAGGAGCUAUAUAGCCAGCUCCUGAGCUUCGACGCCCGCCUCAGCCUCCUUCAUGGCGCCAUCUUCCGUCAAUCCUCCGCCAACGCCGUCUCGCGUGGCUGCGGCCGUGGUCGCAGUCACCACGUGCAACGCGGCGGUGGGCGCGGGCACGAUAACUCCCAGGAUAGCGGCUACACCAACAACUACAGCAACGCUGGAGGCGGCAACUACAACACCUCUGGCAACAGAUCAGGGGGUGGUGGCUUCAACAACAACUCUAGCCGCCGCCCCUCCUCUUCCUCUAGUGGUCGCCCUCGCUGCCAACUCUCCAAGAAGGCCGGCCACGAGGUUAUGGACUGUUGGUACCGCUUCGAUGAGGACUACGUUCCCGAUGCUAAACAUGUUGCUGCAACCAUGCGUGAGCAAGGAGGAGAUGGCGUGUGGUAUGUUGAUUCCGGCGCCACGGAUCAUGUUACAAGUGAGCUAGAGCAGCUCGCUCUCCGUGAAAAAUAUCACGGCAAUGAUCAGAUUCACACCGCAAGCGGUGGAGGUAUGGAUAUCCAACACAUUGGUCAAGCUUUUAUUAAUUCACCUCUGCUUAAACGUGAUCUAGUUCUGAAAGAUGUUCUUCAUGUCCCUCAAGCAGACAAAAACCUUGCUUCUAUGUCUCGUUUAGCCACUGAUAAUAAUGUCUUCUUUGAAACUCACCCUCGUUACUUUUUUUAUAAAGGAUCGGGCAACGAGGGAACUUCUACGCCACGGUAGAUGCAUUAGAGGCCUCUACCCCAUCACAUCCGGAGCACUUAGUUGCAAGCGUCGUCAGGUCUACUCCGUCAUCAAGCCCUCCUUGGCAAGGUGGCAUCAACGAUUAGGACAUCCUUCUUCCGUCAUUGUUAAGCAAGUUAUCAAUAAAGGCAAUCUUUCUUUGUCUCCUAGUCCUCUUAGUGAUUCAGUUUGUGAAGCAUGUCAAUGUGCCAAGAGUCACCAACUUCCCUAUCCUAGGUCAAGUAGUGUUUCUCAUGCUCCUUUAGAUCUUAUUUUCAAUGAUGUAUGGGGCCAUGCCCGUGAUUCUUUUGGACAAAAAAAAUAUUAUGUCAGUUUCAUUGAUGAUUAUAGCAAGUUUACUUGGAUUUAUUUACUCAAGUAUAAAUCUGAAGUUUUCUCCAUAUUCCAAGAGUUUCAAAAACUUGUUGAAAGACACUUUGCCAGAAAAAUUUUAACAGUUCAAAGUGACUGGGGAGGGGAGUACGAGAAGCUCAACUCUUUCUUUCGUAGUAUUGGUAUUGCACACCAUGUGUCUUGUCCUCAUGCUCAUCAACAGAAUGGCUCUGCAGAGAGAAAACAUCGUCAUAUUGUUGAAGUUGGUCUGUCUUUACUUGCUCAUGCUUCUAUGCCUCUCAAAUAUUGGGAUGAAGCUUUCAUCACUGCCACAUAUCUUAUUAAUCGUUUGCCUAGCAAAGUCAUAGCCAAUUCUACUCCUUUGGAACGUCUCUAUAACCAAAAACCAGAUUACAAUUCUCUCAAAACUUUUGGGUGUGCAUGCUACCCCAAUCUUCGUCCUUACAAUCGUCAUAAACUUGAGUUUCGUUCCACUCAAUGUGUUUUUCUUGGCUAUAGUAAUCUUCACAAAGGCUAUAAGUGUCUAGAAGUUGCUACUGGACGUAUCUAUAUUUCCCGAGAUGUUGUUUUUGAUGAAAAUCUCUUUCCAUUUGCCAAGCUUCAUCCAAACGCAGGAGCCCUUCUCCGUGCUGAAAUAGCUCUUCUUCCAGAUCACGGGGGUGAAUUAAAUAAUGUUGACCUUGUGAAAAAUUCCAAAGAAAAUUGUGAUUCUGCAGAUUUUGGCCGUCAUGUUAUGUGUACAGAUCAGGACGAGACAUGCACGGGAUCCCAUGUUGAUCCUGCUGGCAGCGGCACUGGAUCCCAAGCCGAUCCUCGCGCCAGCGCAUCUGUCCCUAGUGGCGCAUGAUCCCAGGAGGAUCGCUCUCCUCUACAUGCGACUUGUGCGUGAGUGGCCGACCAGGUGGACCCCGCCUGUCCCGAUGCGCGGUUGGACGAGGCCGCCAGCCCAGGCGCGGGUGCCGACGCACACGUGGCCGAUAGCCCCCACCGGGUGGAGCCCGCUAGUCCAGGCGCGGGCGAGCGCUUAUCACCACGCGGUGCAGGCGAGCGCUUAUCACCGCCGGCGAGCGCGUGCCUAUCACCAAGCGCCACUUGUUCGCAGGAUGACGUGACGGGUGCGGCUGGCGACAGGGAGACAGUCGAGGCGUCAGGCACAGCAGCCGGUGCAGAAUCUUCCUUGGAUCCGGUGCUGGGAUCUUCUGUGGAUCAUUCUGCCCCUACAUCAGUAGCUCGUUUUGCGGCUCCUCGUUGUCACACUAGGUCAAAGCCAGGUAUCGUAAAAAAUAAAGAGUAUACUGAUGGUAUGAUUAGGUAUGACAGAGGCAAACGUGCUUUUCUUAGUACUGUUGGUGAACCAAAUAAUAUGCAUGAUGCUCUAGUACAUAAAGAUUGGAAGGAGGCUAUGGAUAAAGAAUAUGAUGCACUCAUGAAAAAUAGAACUUGGCACUUAGUACCCUCAAGGCAAGGUAGCAAUGUUAUAGACUUCAAAUGGGUAUAUAAGAUAAAAAGAAAAUCUGAUGGAAGUAUAGACAGAUACAAGGCUAGAUUAGUUGCCAAAGGUUUUAAGCAGAGAUUUGGUAUUGAUUAUGAAGAUACUUUUAGUCCUGUUGUUAAGGCAGCUACUAUUCGACUUGUAUUGUCUAUUGCUGUUUCCAGAGGAUGGAGUUUACGGCAGCUACAUGUUCAGAACGUGUUUCUUCAUGGUGUUCUUGAGGAAGAAGUGUUCAUGCGGCAGCCACCUGGAUAUGAGAAUCAAAGCACACCAUAUUAUGUUUGUAAGUUGGAUAAAGCUUUGUAUGGUUUGAAACAGGCCCCAAGAGCCUGGUACUCAAGGUUGAGCAUGCAGUUGCAACAACUUGGAUUUACACCAUCUAAAGCUGAUACUUCAUUGUUCUUUUAUCAUAAAGACAAGAUCACUAUAUUUGUACUUGUUUAUGUUGAUGAUAUAAUUGUUGCAAGCUCCAGUUCAGAGGCCACCACUUGUUUGCUUAAAGAUCUAAAAUUGGAAUUUGCUCUCAAGGACUUGGGUGAUCUUCACUACUUUCUUGGCAUAGAGGUCAACCGAGUCAAAGAUGGUAUUCUUCUUACGCAGGAGAAGUACACUGCUGAUAUACUCAAGAGAGUAGGACUGCACAAUUGCAAACCUGUGAGUGCACCAAUUUCAACUUCUGAAAAACUUACAGUUGAGAGUGAAGAAGCACUUGGAUCAGAGGAUGCAACAAAUUAUAGAAGUGUUGUGGGUGCUUUACAAUAUCUGACUCUUACACGUCCUGAUAUUUCUUACUCUGUGAAUAAGGUAUGUCAGUAUUUACAUGCACCUAGAACAACUCACUGGACUGCAGUUAAGAGGAUUUUAAGGUAUCUUAAGUUUUCUGAAGGACUUGGACUUCAGAUUACCAAGUCUCCAUCUCUAUUUGUUACUGCUUAUUCUGAUGCAGACUGGGCAGGGUGUGCCGAUGAUAGAAGGUCUACAGGUGGUUUUGCUGUGUUUCUGGGAACUAAUCUCGUAUCAUGGAGUGCAAGAAAACAGGCCACUGUCUCAAGGUCAAGUACAGAGGCUGAGUAUAAAGCUUUGGCAAAUGCUAUAACAGAAGUAAUGUGGAUACAGACAUUGCUCUAUGAACUUGGAAUCAAGGCUCCACAAGCUGCUCGAUUAUGGUGUGAUAAUAUUGGAGCAACCUAUCUUUCAGCUAAUCCUGUUUUCCAUGCACGCACCAAACAUAUUGAACUUGAUUUUCACUUUGUCAAAGAGAGAGUAGCUCGAAAGCUACUUGAUAUUCGGUUUAUACCUACUGGGGAUCAACUUGCUGAUGGCUUCACAAAACCUCUCACUAUGAGGAGGUUGGAUGAGUACAAGUACAAUCUUAACCUUGCGCAAGUUCCUAAGGUUUAGAUUGAGGGGGAGUGUUAGAAGAUAUUGUAUAUAGAUAGGAAAGCUGUUUAACUUUGUAUCUCUUUGUAUCUCUUCUUCUAUUUUAUCUCUUCCAACCUCCUAUAACAAUCCCGAUCGAUCUUCUCUCGAUCGGUACUUGUAAGCCACGGCAUACAGCAUAUAUAUAUAGACCGCGGCCCGAACAAAGGGUUCAACGCUUCCAUCAACCUUUUACAACAGCAUCCAACGGUGCUGAUAUGCUUCACGUCAGGUCUUGGACAGAGACCUGACGGUGUCGCUGCCUGAAACAAUACGUGUUCGAAAACCACUAAUCCGGACCGGUCCACAUUGCACGCCAAUGAAAUAAUUUUUGAUAUACCCAGCCUAUUCCAGAGCUAUCUUGCGUUUGCAUGCCAUUUGUCUGAAUUGCAUGCUACUCUACGAGUGCGAAGUUAUGGUGUCGGAGCACCACGGAGGACAUUUAGCAAAAAAAUAAUUAAAAACCAUAUUUAGAAGUAAAAAAGUCAAAAAAAAAUCUGGAAACUUGUGUAUCCACUACGGAUCCAAGGAAUUUGGGUUUAGAAAAAAUGUAAUUUUUAAACUGUACAUAAAAGUCCGGCCCAACAACAAAAAGGGGCCCAUUUAAAAGUACAUAUUUGUCUUCUUUUUUGUACAUCAUACGUGAAAGUAAGAUGUUAUGAAAUUUUGCACAUAAAUGUUAUAGAUGUGUAUGUGUGUUUACAAAAUAAUUCAUUUUUUUAUGCUGUGGAAAUGGGGUUUUUUUUUUGUAAACGGGCACCAUUGGUAAUUUUCUGCUACUCUUCUGGAUUUCGGAAAGUUGUGAUUUCAGACAAGGAUGGAGUCAAACUUCUAUAUUUUUUUACUAGCAACUUUAUUUUUCUGAAAUUUUGAAUUCUAAUACCCCCAUUAAAAGUUAUUGAAUCAGAUUCCUAAAAUUAUUUGUUAUUCAUGAAUUUGCUACAAAUGUACUCGCGAUGAUAUGCUUUUUGUUGGAUUUCAUAAACUAACAUACAUCAAAAGUCAAAGUCAUGUUUCAAAGGCCAUGCAUGCCAGAACCUAGUAAACAAUUUUAAGAAUUAGAAUGGAUUGUGCGUCCACCGACUCCAUUGCAAUUGCCCGCUGCAUCCUAGCAAAUCAUUGUUUGUGUCACGCCCCGUCUUAAUUCUACCGCAUCUUCGGCAAUUAUGCUUUUACUUCCGCACCGCGUUGGCAUAACCCUCUCCACAGUCAUUCGCACAGCCCGUCGACUCGCCCUAGUUGUCCCAGCCUACCACAACCCACAGGUCUAGUACUCUCAAAUACCUAACCCUUGCCGGAGAGGAGGGGGAGGGGUCUUAGUCGACCCCUUCUCCCACCGCCUCAUAUUCCUUUUCUCUUUCUUUCUUUUCACGAUUCGUAUUGUCCAUCGAGGCCCAAGAAAGCCGCCCUACUAAAGCCCUGUUUAGUACUAGAGGUUUUAUGGGGAUUGGUGGGGAAAUCCCUACCUUAUCACAACCCCCAAGUCCCCGUCAAACCGCAACCCCCAAUCCACUAGGUAGGGUUAGUGUACUGGGUAUUGGGGGGAAAUGCACUAGGAUAUAGGGAAAACUAAGAAAAAAAAUAAGGGAAUAAACUAGCCCAAUACACUAGAAACCAAAAAUGAUUCUAGGAAUAAGCGGCGUUUUGCUUUUUAGUAGGGAUAAUCAUUAUAAAUCCCUGGAAAUACACUAGUAACCAAAAAAAAAA